GGUUGGUGGCUUGUGUUCAGGAAGUGGUUUCUCUCCCUUGGGAGGUUUACCAAUUGGGGUUGGUGGCUUGUGUUCUGGGAGUGGUUUCUCUCCCUUGGGAGGUUUAGUGGGUGACUUGUGUUCUGGAGGUGGCUUCUCCACCGGAGGCUUGUGCUCCGGUGGUGGCUUCUCCACCGGAGGCUUGUGCUCCGGUGGUGGCUUCUUGAUUGGAGGGGGCUUGGGGUAAUCAGCAAGAGAUGGGAUGGUGAGAACCACCACUCCAAGGAACAACACUAGCAAGUAUGUGGGAGACAUUUCUGAGUUUGAGCUGAUCAGAUGAUGCAAAACUAGAAGAAUUACGGGACCUUUUAUAGCAAGUAUCUCCCAAUACCCACAUGACACGUGUUACUAUGACCAUAAAUAUUAUAGGGUCCAUUUGUGCCCUACCGGGUUGAAAACUUGGACGCUUGGCCGAGGACACACCUGACUAUGGAGGACUAUUGACGUGUGAUCACAGCUUUUGGAUUUUUCUUCCUGUGCAGCUGUCUAGCGGUUGGCAUUAUUUUCUUAAUCUUAAAUAAAGGCAUAGUUAUAGAGUUGUUUAAUCUCUAAAUGGGAUUUUAUAUAUCUUCAGAUAGCCAUUAAUAUAUUUGAUGAAGAAAGACAAGUGCAUACAACAUGUAUACGGCUUGCUUCAAUCGAGUACAUUUAUGAUCAGUUUUCCUGUGCAAGUAAACCAGUUUUUUGUUCCACAACUAUUUUGGAAUCUUGUUUAUCAGUUUCUAUCAUUAUAAUGUCACAUAGGCUGCAAACUUGGGCACCCAAAGAUCUAGGUGGGCAAAUUUGUUUCAGACUUUCAAUGGUGGAUUCAGUAAUUGUUAAAAGGUGUUUCUUCAUUAAGGAAAGAGUCCGGUAAAAAUAUUGUUAAAAGGUGUCAUAGAAACUAUAAUAAAUAAAUAACUUCUUUUCCCCAUGGGUGGUGUUUCUUCUGGGGAUCAGUGACUGGUUAGGGUCACCCAAAAUGAGUCCAGAUUAAAAUUGGUUCGAGUCAAAGCAGUCUCUUUUGUCCAGAAAUCAACUAUUUUGCGCAUUGAAUGAAUCGAUAAAGAAAAAAUGAAAGCCAAAUCACACCUCCCCUGCAAAACCUAAACCCCGGUUGCUAACUUUCUAUGUUUCAGUCCUAUUCAUAUAGGAAUAUUGGUUCAAGUUUGAGAAAAAUGGCAACUUACCUAGGGUUUACUUGGUUUUGGUUUGCGACUAUUUACGCAACCAACCAUGAGUUUGACUUUAACGUCAUGGGUUGAAGCCUCCUACAAUCAUGUAUGAUAGUUCAAAGCUCGUGGAAGAAAUUAUACAGGAAGGAAGAAACCUCCAAAGCUAGCUCCAAAAGAGAAUUAUCACAUCGAUAGCUCCAGAGAUUCCCAAGGGAACUGAAUCAAAGACAAGUUCCUCACUUUUUCUUCUUUUGAGGCCAAAUAUGAACCAAGGAUCACACGACCUCAUUCAACUUCAUAAGUUUGAUUUCAUGCAGUUGAACACUGGGUGAAGGCCAUGACAAGAAUUGAUUAAAAAAUUCUACCACUCUUUUAAGUAAUGGAAGAUUAUUAUCUCUGAUUGGCACCACAACAGCACAUGCUGCUAGAUCUUUCUAGACACUCCAUGCAAUGAAAGCACAAUGGAUCUUGUAAUGAUAGAAACUAAGCCAUGCUACAGUACUAGAUGAGGGGGUAAAACUAGUAGACAUCUUUCUAGACACUCCAUGCAAUGAAAGCACAAUGGAUCUUGUAAUGAUAGAAACUAAGCCAUGCUACAGUACUAGAUGAGGUGGUAAAACUAGUAGACAUGGCUGGCAGUUGAUUACUACUCAAAAAGUACUCUUUUAUAGCUUGAAACUAACUGUUUUAAACACUUUUGAGUAGUAGUUAAUACCUUUUAACUUAAUUGGCACAUUAAGGAACCUAGCAAGGGUUACUAAUCAACAUUUGGCAAGUUUUGAUGUUUUUGGUAGCUAUUUGAUCAUUGAAACAAGCCAAGAAUGAGGGGGAAUUUUGUGAAGUCCAUGGCAAUGCAAGUUAAAGCUCAAAUACAUGAAGAAUCCAAGCUUUGGAGCACUUCAUAGCCCUUUGCCAAGCCAAUCAAAGAUGCAAGGAAGAAAACCAAAGGAAGAAAUCCAACAAUCAGCAUUUUGGCAUGGCUAUGUGAAAUUUCGCACACCAUGCGAAACCACAAGAGGCAGCCAAAGAAUUUCGCAUGGUAUGCGAAAUCUUCUUGUGCACUGACUCUGUUAGAUUUUUAUCUUCAGAUAUUUUGUGUAAUUUCCUAGUUUCUCCUUGUAACCAACUUAGAUAUUUUCUUUUAUAUCUUUUUUUAUAUUUUUUAGGUAACAUCAUAUAUAAGAGGAGAGACAUAAGGAGGAUAUGGAUGUUUUUCAUAGAACACUUGUAAAUUUUUGGUAGUAAGAAAUAUACAAAGCUUUUUGCUCUGCCUUACCUUCUCAAGGGAUGAGUGGCUAGGUUUUCUUGGAGUGAGGGAAGCUAGGUGAAGGACCUGAAUGCAAAGGUGGGAGUUUUCCUUACUUUAAAUGAAAGUAGUUGUUAAACAUUAAUGGUUUUUAUUUUAAGGUUUAGCUUUAAAUCCCUGAAAAACACCUUGAAUGGCCAAUACUUGGUAAGCUUUUUAGAUUCUAUGGAUGCUUAUUGCUAGAUCCAUGGAUGUCUAUUAGUUAUCAUUUACGAGCCAUUGGAAGGUGAUUCAAGGUGAGGGUCUUUAGUGUUUGAAGCCAUUAAUGGGAAGCAAUUACCAUUUUUUCAUGAAUCCUUUGGAUCAAAUCUUAAUUGCUAAAUAUAAAACCGGUUUCGAGAGAUAACCACCAUCCUUUAUGUUAUUAUCCCCAACGCGAGGAGAAGAUCCGAAAUCUUCCUUUUUAUCUAAGGAACCCGAUCCUAGUGACCUAAAGCUCCAAGAUACCUUUUCUUUGUAGUUAACUUCAUUUAUUGUUUUUGCUUAACUUAAAAUCAAUCUUUGCAACCACAAUUCCAUUUUCUUUAAAAGCUAAUUUUUAUAAGGAAAAACACCAUUUUAUUUCCUUCACUAAGUCAACUGUACGAUGAAAACCCAUCCCUGUGGACGAUCCUAGAGCCACUAUACUAUGUUAGCUAUGCUACCCUAGUGUGAGGUGAUUUAGGUUUUAUAAAUUUUUUUGAUAACACCCAUCUGAGCCAGAAUCAAAUGGCACGACUGAACCAGGGACGAAUCAAAUGACGCCGCUACCAAGGAUGGUGCCAAAGUACAUUGACAUGACUUUUGGUGAACACUUGUGAUCUUCACCACAAGUUUGGUGAUUUUUCUUUUACUAAUUUUUUUUAUUUUAGCUUAUCUUUUAUUUAGUUUUUAGUUAACCUUAAAUUUUUCCUAGAAUUGUAUUUCUUUUGUUUUCUUUGUUUUUGUUUCAGUGAUCUUUAGUUGUGCAUGCCCUAUUGGAUAAGAGAUAUUGAGGGAAUACUUGUGAAGAUUGAAACUCCUCGAGAAACUGAGUUAGAAGUGUGCUUGAACAUCAUGGAUGUUCCACCUGAAGACCAGAAUAGCCAACAUGGUUAAGAGGAUAAUUUCAACACAUACCGAUCCAUGAGGAACCGCAUACAUCCACCUUGUAUGAGUGCACCGUCAGGCAUAAUGCCUCCCACUGAGCAGCUAGUAAUCUGACCUCACAUUGUGCCACUCCUACCUACUUUCCAUGGGAUGGAGAGUGAGAAUCCCUACUCGCAUAUUAAGGAAUUCGAGGAGGUUUGUAAUACAUUCCAAGAAGGAGGAGCUUCAAUUGACUUGAUGAGGCUCAAGCUAUUUCCUUUCACUUUGAAGGAUAAGGCCAAGAUUUGGCUUAAUUCUUUAAGGCCAAGAAGUAUCCAAACUUGGAUUGAUUUGUAAGCCGAGUUUCUUAAGAAGUUCUUCCCUACCCAUAGGACCAAUGGUUUGAAAAGGCAAAAUUUGAACUUCUCAGUUAAAGAGAAUGAGAAAUUCUAUGAGUGUUGGGAGAGCUACAUGGAAGCUAUUAACGUUUGUCCUCACCAUGGCUUUGACACAUGGCUCUUAGUGAGCUAUUUUUACAAUGGUAUGUCUUCUUCAAUGAAGCAACUCCUAGAAACUAUGUGUGGAGGAGACUUCAUGAGUAAGAAUCCGGAGGAAGCCAUGGACUUUUUGAGUUAUGUGGCUGAAGUUUCAAGAGGAUGGGAUGAACCAAAUGCUAGAGAGGUGGGAAGAAUGAAGUCUCAACCUAAUGCUAAGGGUGAGAUGUAUGUUUUGAAUGAAGACAUUGACAUGAAAGCAAAGGUUGCAGCUAUGGCAAGGAGAUUGGAAGAGCUAGAAAUGAAGAACAUACAAAAAGUGCAAGCCAUUUCUGAGACAUCAAUGAAAGCUAUGCCUUGUUCCAUUUGUCAAUCUUAUAAGCACCUAGUGGAGGAGUGUCCUACAAUUCCAGCAGUGAGAGAGAUGUUUGGUGAUCAAGCAAAUGUUAUUGAUCAAUUCAAGCCUAAUAACAAUGCUUCAUAUGGCAACACCUACAAUUCAAAUUGGAGGAACCAUUCAAAUUUCUCUUGGAAACGAAAGCCACCUCAAUACACACAACCUACUCAAGCACCUUAGCAAUCCUCGAAUCUUGAACAAGCUAUUGUGAACCUUAGCAAGGUUGUGGGAGACUUUGUGGGAGAUCAGAAGUCCAUCAAUGCUCAACUGAAUCGGAGAAUUGACAGUGUGGAGAGUACAUUGAACAAAAGGAUGGAUGAGAUGUAAAAUGAUCUGUCUCAAAAGAUAGACAAUGUCCAAUACGUAAUCUCAAGGCUUACCAACCUCAACACAGUGUAAGAGAAAGGAAAGUUUCCUUCUCAACCUCAUCAAAAUCCUAAGGGUAUCCAUGAAGUAGAGGCUCAAGAGGGAGAAUCUUCAAAGGUGAGGGAAGUCAAAGUAGUUAUCACCUUGAAGAGUGGUAAAGAGGUUGAUCAACCCACAUCCAAGCCAAAGCAUAAUGAAGAGAGUGUAGCAGAAAAAGAAAAGAGAGGAAAAUAAAGGAAUUAGAAUAGAGAAAAAUACAAAGAAAGAUGACCAUGAGUCUAGUGUGGAUGAAGAGCCCGAGAGGAUGGUGAUCAAGGAAGAUAUGAUGAAGAAACACAUGCCUCCACCUUUCCCCUAAGCUUUGCAUGACAAAAAAAGAACCAAUAAUACAUCAGAAAAUUUUGAAGUAUUGAGGCAAGUGAAGGUCAAUAUCCCUUUGCUAGACAUGAUCAAACAAGUGUCGACAUAUGAAAAAUUCUUGAAGGACUUGUGCACUGUAAAGAGAGGGUUGAAUGUGAACAAGAAAGCUUUAUUGACCGAGCAAGUGAGUUCCAUCAUACAGUGCAAGUCCUAGUGAAGUACAAAGAUCCGGGUUGCCGUACCAUCUCAGUGAGUAUUGGAAGGACUUGUGUGGAGAAAGCUUUGUUGGACUUGGGAGCAAGUGUGAAUUUGCUAUCCUACUCUGUCUAUAAGCAGUUGGGAUUUGGAGAGUUGAAGCCAAUAUCCAUCACUCUAUCUCUAGCGGAUAGAUCAAUGAAGAUUCCAAGAGGGAUGAUCGAAGAUGUCCUGGUUCAAGUUAACAAAUUCUACUAUCCAGUAGAUUUUGUUGUUCUUGAUAUGGAUCCGGUUGUCAAAUGAACUAAUUAUGUUCCUAUCAUACUUGGAAGACCCUUCCUAGCUACAUCAAAUGCAAUCAUCAAUUGUAGGAAUGGAGUCAUGCAACUCACAUUUGUCAACAUGACAUUAGAGCUCAACAUCUUCCAUUUGUACAAGAAGCAUAUCCAUCAGGAGGAAAAAGAAGGUCUAGAGGAAGUGUGAAUGAUUGACACUUUAGUGGAAGAGCAUUGUGAUCGAGAAUGCAAAAAGAUUUAGUUGAGAAUUUUGGGGAUCUUGAUGAAAGGUUACUUGAACCCUCAGAUUUGCUUGCUACCCUACUCCAUUGGAAGAGAAGAGAAGAAAUUCUACCCUUAUUCAAUGAGGAGGAGACGCAAAGAGCUGCAAAGGAGAAACCCCCAAAACUUAUUCUUAAGCCACUACCCACAGAGUUGAAGUAUGUAUACUUGGAAGAAGACAAGAAGUGCCCUAUUGUUAUAUCUUCAACUCUUACCAUUCAUCAGGAGGAUUGUCUACUUGAAGUCCUUAGAAGAUGUAAGAAGACAAUAAGGUGGCUAAUUUCUUAUUUGAAAGGGAUCAGCCCUUUAGUCUGCACCCAUCAUAUUUACAUGGAGGAUGAAGCUAAGCUAAUUCAUCAACCUCAGAGAAGGUUGAACCCUCACAUGCAAGAGGUGGUUCGAGCUGAAGUUCUGAAGCUACUUCAGACCAGUAUUAUUUACCCCAUAUCAAAUAGCCCAUGGGUGAGUCCUACUCAAGUUGCGCCAAAGAAGUCUGGGAUCAUGGUGGUGCAAAAUGAUAAGGGAGAAGAUGUCUCUACACGCCUCACUACAGGUUGGAGGGUGUGUAUCAAUUACAGGAGGUUGAAUGCAGUGAUAAGAAAGGACCAUUUCUCAUUGCCCUUUAUUGAUCAGGUGCUUGAGAGGGUCUCUGGGCUUUUUUUUUUAUUGUUUCUUGGAUGGCUACUCCGGGUACUUUCAGAUAGAAAUUGAUGUUGAAAACCAAGAUAAGACCAUUUUCACAUGCCCAUUUGGAACCUAUGCAUAAAGGAGAAUGCCUUUCGGCUUAUGCAAUGCACCCGCAACUUUCCAAAGAUGCAUGUUAAGCAUUUUCAGUGAUAUGGUGGAGCGUAUUAUGGAAGUCUUUAUGGAUGAUAUCACCAUUUAUGGAAGUGCAUUUGAUGAAUGCUUGGUCAACUUAGAAGCUGUUCUGAACCGAUACAUUGAGAAAGACUUAGUGCUUAACUGGGAGAAGUGCCAUUUCAUGGUACACCAAGGGAUUGUCCUUGGGCACAUUAUCUCCAAGCAAGGCAUUGAAGUUGACAAAGCAAAGGUUGAACUCAUUGUUAAGUUGCCAUCCUCAACAAAUGUCAAAGGAGUAAGGCAAUUCUUUGGCCAUGUCGGGUUCUAUAGGAGGUUUAUCAAGGAUUUCUCUAAGCUUGCAAGGCCUCUUUGUGAAAUAUUGGUGAAUGAUGUUAAAUUCAUAUGGGAUGAUGGAUUUGAAAGGAGUUUUGAAGAAUUGAAGCUAUUUUUGACAACCGUACCAAUAGUGAGGGCUCCCAACUGGCAACUGCCCUUUGAAGUAAUGUGUGAUGUCAAUGAUUUUGCUAUAGGAUUUUUUCUUGGGCAAAGAGAAAAUGGAAAACCUUAUGUGAUCUACUAUGCGAGGAAGGCAUUGAAUGAGGCACAAAGAAACUACACAACCACCGAGAAAGAAUUGUUAGCUGUAGUUUUUGCCUUGGAUAAGUUUCGCGCUUACUUGGUGGGGUCCUUCAUCAUGGUUUUUACUGAUCACUUUGCUUUGAAGUAUCUGUUGACUAAGCAAGAUGCUAAAGCAAGGCUGAUUAGAUGGAUUCUCUUACUUCAAGAGUUCAAUCUCCAUAUCAAAGAUAAGAAAGGAGUGGAGAAUGUGGUAGCAGACCACAUUUCAAGGCUAGCUAUCGCACAUAAUUCCCAUGCUUUGCCCAUUAAUGACGAUUUUCUAGAGGGGUCUCUCAUGUUGGUGGAAGUUGUCCCUUGGUACGCUCACAUUGCUAACUACCUGGUCACGGGAAAAGUUCCAAGUGAGUGGAAAGCACAAGAUAAGAAGCACUUCUUUGCAAAAAUUCAUGCCUACUAUUGGGAAGAGCCAUUUCUAUUCAAGUAUUGUAUGGAUCAGAUAAUAAGGAAGUGCGUUCCUGAAGAAGAGCAACAGGGGAUCCUUAGUCAUUACCAUGAAAAUGCAUGUGGAGGCCACUUUGCUUAUCAAAAGACAGCCAUGAGGGUGUUGCAAUCGGGUUUCUGUUGGCCAUCACUUUUCAAAGAUGCCCACACCAUGUGCAAGAGUUGUGAUCGAUGCCAGAGGCUUGGGAAGUUGACACGCAGGAACAUGAUGCCUUUGAACCCCACUUUAAUAGUUGAUAUUUUUUAUGUUUGGGGCACUAACUUCAUGGGACCUUUCCCUAUGUCUUUUGGCUACUCUUACAUCUUGGUAGGAGUAGAUUAUGUUUCUAAGUGGGUUGAGGCAGUCCCAUGCAAACACAAUGACCAUAGAGUGGUUCUCAAGUUUCUUAAAGAGAAUAUCUUCUCAAGAUUUGGGGUGCCCAAAGCCAUAAUUAGUGAUGGGGGUACUCAUUUUUGCAACAAGCCUUUUGAAACUCUCCUAGCCAAGUAUGGGGUGAAGCAUAAGGUAGCUACACCUUACCACCCUCAAACUCAUGGACAAGUUGAGUUAGCAAACAGGGAGAUUAAAAACAUAUUGAUGAAGGUGGUGAACACAAACAGAAAAGAUUGGUCAGUCAAGCUUCUUAAUUCACUAUGGGCAUAUAGAACAACUUACAAGACCAUUCUCGGGAUGUCUCCUUAUCGCCUAGUUUAUGGCAAAGCAUGCCAUCUCCCUGUGGAAUUGGAAUACAAAGCUUGGUGGGCAAUCAAGAAGCUCAACAUGGAUUUGAGCAGAGCUGGGUUGAAGAGGUUCUUAGACCUUAAUGAGAUGGAGAAAUUGAGAAAUGAUGCCUACAUCAAUUCAAAAAUUGCAAAAGAAAAAUUGAAGAGGUGGCAUGAUCAGUUGAUUUCCCGCAAGGAUUUUCAAAAUGGACAAAGAGUCUUACUUUAUGACUCUAAACUCCACAUCUUUCCGGGCAAGCUGAAAUCAAGGUGGAUAGGUCAUUUUACCAUUCACCAAGUGCAUUCAAAUGGAGUAGUGGAACUACUCAACUCCAACAAUAUCGAGAACUUCAAAGUGAAUGGCCACCGUCUCAAGCCCUUUGUGGAGUCUUUUUCUCACAACAAGGAGAAAUUCAUCCUCCUUGAUCCACAUCAAGCUUAACAAGACCAAUUUUCUUGAUGGACUUAGUCUUUCUAAAGACUAUCGAGUCCAUAACUUUUUGUUUUAUUUUUUAUUUGAGAUUUUUUCGGUAUUGUUACUUGUUUUGUUUUUUAUUUUUCGUUUUAAUUUUAUUUGGUUUGAUUUAACUUAGGUUUUUGAUGAUCAAUUACAGGGGGGAUUUCAAAUAGAGGAAAAACCAAGAUAAUUCGCACACCCUACGAAAAUUUCGCAAGGCAUGCGAAAUUUAUGGCUUAUUUUGCAUGGGGUGAAAAUUUUCGUACAUCUUACGAACCAAUUUCGAACACUUUGCGAAAAUAAACCAACCCUGCGAAAUCAUUUCGAUUACUCUACGAAAUUUUCGUAGAGCAUGCGAAAAAUUUAGCACACCAAACACCAUUUCGCAUACUAUGCAAAAACCUAAGGGGUCUGCGAAACCAUUUCGCACCUCCAAAUCCAUUUCGCACAUUGUGCGAAAACCAAGAGGCGCUGUGCGAAAAUGAAAAGUCGCCCUGUCAUCCCUUUUUAAACCCCUCGAGCCCUAAAAUCUCCAUUUCGCAAGCACCCCUGUCCUUGCGAAUCCCUCAUUUUCCUCUACUACCUUGCAACCUCGUCCCUUUCCAUUUGAUAUUGUGCCCCGCGCACAUCUCAUUUCAGAGACUCGCACUCCGCGCCCCCUCAAAGCAUGGACUCGAGACCCACCUUCCAUUUCCGACGUGGCACGGACCCAAGGAGCCCUUUCUGCCCCUUCACUAAGACACACACCAAGGCAGAAAGCCUCCUUUGCUCAAGUGCCUAGUGAUUCUCCAUCUUAGGCCUCAGAGGCCUCGGAGGCCCCGUGGAUUCCACCUUCCGAGGGUAGAGCAGCCAUUGGUCCUUCCUCUUCUACUCCUUAGCGUAGAUACGAGACGAGGAGACCACCUACUACACAAGGGGCGACUACUUCGAGCCUUGAGAAUUCAGUACGAUGCCUUCCUGCCAAGAGGGUCAAGACUUCAGGUCCAAGUGAGUCAUCCAGAGCUUCAUAGCCUAAGCCUCCUGUAGAUUCCAAGGUUCCUACUGACAUAUCACCGGAGUCUAUUAUCAGAAGCCCGAUGCUCAUAGCACCGCCCAUUGAGGGCAACUCAGAUUAUAGAGCGAGAUCUUUCCACUUGGAGCUAUAUUUUGAUCAGGAGGCCAUACGACAGCAGCCUGAGCUCCGAGACUCUUAUGGCUUACUGCAGAGGUACCAUCUUGAGGAACUUAUGACUCCUCGUGAGUUUUUUUAUCCCAGAGUAGCACUAAACUUUUACCAGUCCAUGACUACUCGUGGCGUCCCGAGUCCUACCACGAUUCACUUCACCAUUGAUAGACGUCAUGGUAUCCUCAAGGCCAGACAUAUUACAGAGGCUCUACAAAUUCCUUUCGAGCUAGAGGAUCCAUCUGUUUUUCGCUAAUGGUCCCCAGUAUCUCAGAGGGACAUGGUCCGUAUUUUAUCUAGGGGAACAUCUACAGAUUCGAUCUUUCUACGGAAGGAGCUUCGACCUGGGAUGCUCCUCUUAGAUGUGGUGCUAUGCUCCAACCUCUUUCCCUUACAACAUUCGGUACAUAGGUGAUGAGCUAUUUUGGACGCUUUAUUCCGUAUAUCAGAGGGCUUCUACUUUGGCCCGCACCACUUGAUCAUGGUCUCCCUCAUCCACUUUGAGGAGAAGGUUCAUAGGAAGAAGCUUCAGAGGGUGGACACCAUUCCAUUACUAUUCCUGAGGUUACUUUGCCAGGUCUUGGAGUACAUGGGCUUUCCUACUGAGCCUCGGCUCGAGCUUUGCCGCCUUUGUCGAGAGUGAUCCACUCUCGACAAAUGGAAUUAGUUGGCGGGCUAUUCUGCACCUCCAGGAGCCCCUCCCAUGGUAGCACCUCCAAUGUCCCCACAGGCAAAGUAGGGCGAGCUCCCGGCAAAGACUGUACCACCAAUGCCCACACUUGAGGCUAUUUCUGCUGCUCUGCCUAUGACUCCUACUGUUCCACCAGUUGGUCCUUUUACAUCCGAGCCUUCCAUCACCAUCUCGGCUUCGGAGUUUCGCGCCCUUGUGCAUACCUUUCAGACACUCACCACCACACAUACUCCUCUCUUCUAGCAAAUGGUUGAGAUGUGUGCCCAUCAGGACCGGAAGACUACUAUACUCUGCCAAAUUCAGCAGCACCUAAGACUUUUGCCUCAACCUCAACCUAACCAUCCCAUAUCAUCAGAGCCUCUAGCUCCAACUGAGGAUACUAUUCCACCUGAGAACACUACCACAGUAGAGGUCCGGUUUCCACCACCUUAAGAGGCCACCACAGCUACAUCAGAGGAUGUGUCAUCUCCACUUGAGGCUCCCACUACUUGAUCAUAGGACAUAUCUUUAUCUUAUUGUAUUUACAUAUUAUAUUACUAGAGAUUUGUCCUUGUUUUGAUACUUUAUAUUCUGGGAUUGGAUGUAUUGCCUGAUGAUAUCUCAAUUGUACUUUCUCAUAUUAAUAUAUAGACAUCAAUUUUUUUUAGUAUACUUAGCAUUUUUCUAUUUCCUCUACUCAUUACUCUUUUGUUUUUUUUUACUCAUGUGGUUUCUCUUAUACAACUCAGACUCCAUUUCACUCAGGAGGUACCACUUCCUCCCUUUAUUUUCAAUUGCUCUUGAAAUAUUGAGUGCAAUGUUGAUCUUGGUUGGGGGGAGAGUUGAGGAAGGAAGUUUUGUUAAUAAUGCUAGGUUAAUUUGUUAAUUUAGUUACUUUCUGCUUAAUUUUAAAAGUUUUCACUCUACUUUCCAUGGUUAUUAAGGAAAAAUUCUCAAAAUGAAAUGGGAGAAAUCGAAUUCUUGCAUUUUUACUUGAAUCUUAGAAUUUGUAUCAUGCUUAUUAAAGUUGAUGAAUUAUUGAAACUCCUAUUGAAUUCAACCUUAUUUUUUCCACUUUAAUCUUACCACACACGGUGCACAUUAGGUUCCAGUUAUAAGAUAAAAAACUAUCUCACCCCCUAAACUUAGAAAAAUUUACACUUGGUACCUUUGACAUCGUUUUAAUAGUGUUGGGACACCUUAUAAAAGGCCAAUGAGCCUUUAAAAAAAAAAAAAAAAAAAAAAAGAGAAAGAACAAAGUAUUGCACUUGCCUUGAAACCUGAGCAAGAUCCGAGGGGUAUACAGUGAAAGUCUUUAAAACCUGGUGCCCUAAGCCUUGAUUGGUUGGGAGUCACCGACCUCAAUGCUCGUUAUAAGGGUGAAUAGGUGGAGUUUAACAUAUUGUAGGUGCUUGGGUAUUGAAUUUCAAUCUCAAAAGUCCGGGAAAAAAUCUAAGGAGUUAGUGGUCAAAAGAUCCUUAAAGCUUGAUGCCCUAAACCUUGAUUGGUUGAGAGUCAUUGAUGGAUCCCCGCUACAUGGACAUUUUAGAAAACAAUACCUUUAGCAUUGCACGCCUACAAUGAAAAAAAAAUGUGAAAUAAAAGAGGUGCGUUCUUAGCCUAUUGGAGGUUGGUCAGUUUGCUAAAGUUUGAGAAAUCUAGGUUGGGGGGAGAGAAUAGUCCGACAUACUAUAAUAAAAAACUAAUAACCUUAACACUUAGAUUUUUGUGGAAGAGUAAGGAUUGGACCUUUAGGGGUGGAAAUUCUUUUGAUGCUUAAAUUUGCAUAAUGCCUACUCUUUAUAAAUUAUGAUUAGGCAAGAGAUUUGAUGACUCUUGUUCAAAGUUGGGUUUUUCCUCUUUGAUGUUCCAUGAGAGAGUAUAAUCCUCAUCAUGCCACUUGAAAUCUUUUUGGAGUGAUUAACAUGAUUUUGUAAAUUAUUUUACUGUCUAUUUUUCUUUAUCUCUCUUUUAUUGCUAAUGGACUAGCAAUAUGUCAGUUGGGGGGAGUGAUUACUACUCAAAAAGUACUCUUUUAUAGCUUGAAACUAACUGUUUUAAACACUUUUGAGUAGGUGUUAAUACAUUUUAACUCAAUUGGCACAUUAAGGAACCUAACAAGGGUUACUAAUAAGUUUUUGGCAAGUUUUGGUGUUUUUGGUAGCUAUUUGAUCAUUGAAACAAGCCAAGAAUGAGGGAGAAUUUUGUGAAGUCCAUAGCAAUGCAAGUUAAAGCUCAAAUACAUGAAGAAUCCAAGCUUUGAAGCACUUCAUAGCCCUUUGCGAAGCCAAUCAGAGAUGCAAGGAAGAAAACCAGAGGAAAAAAUCCAACAACCAGCAUUUUCGCAUGGCUGUGCGAAAUUUUGCACACCAUGCGAAACCACAAGAAGUAGCCAAAGAAUUUUGCACACCAUGCGAAAUUUCGCAUGGUAUACGAAAUCUUCCUAUGCACCAACUCCGUUAUAUUUUUAUCUUCAGAUAUUUUGUGUAAUUUCCUAGUUUCUCCUUGUAACCAACCUAGAUAUUUUCUUUUAUAUCUUUUUUUUAUAUUUUUUAGGUAACAUCAUAUAUAGGGGGAGAGACAUAAGGAGGAUAUGGAUGUUUUUCAUAAAACACUUUUAAUUUUCUGGUAGUAAGAAAUAUACAAAGUUUUUUGCUCUGCCUUACCUUCUCAUUUUGUUUUCACCUAUCUUUCUAGCCAAACAACCUCUGAGAAUGAUUUCUCAGGGGAUGAGUAGUUAGGUUUUACGUUUCUUGGAGUGAGAGAAGCUAGGUGAAAGACCCAAAUGCUAAGGUGGGAGUUGUCCUUGCUUUAAAUGAAAGUAGUUGUUAAAUAUUAAUGGUUUUUAUUUUAAGGUUUAGCUUUAAAUCCCUUAAAAACACCUUGAAUGGCCAAUACUUGGUAAGCUUUUCGGAUUCUAUGGAUGCUUAUUGCUAGAUCCAUGGAUGUCAUUAGUUAUCAUUUAUGAGCCAUUGGAAGGUGGUUCAAGAUGAGAGUCUUUAGUGUUUGAAGCCAUUAAUGGGAAACAAUUACCAUUUUUUCAUGAAUCCUUUGGAUAAAAUCUUAAUUGCUAAAUAUAAAACUGGUUCGGGAGAUAACCAUCCUUUAUGUUAUUAUGCCCAAUGCAAGGAGAAGAUUUCGAAUCUUCUCAUUUGUCUAAGGAACCCGAUCCUAGUGACCUAAAGCUCCUAGAGACCUUUUCUUUGUAGUUAACUUCAUUUAUUGUUUUUGCUUAACUUAAAAUCAAUCUUUGCAACCACAAUUCCAUUUUCUUUAAAAGCUAAUUUUUAUAAGGAAAAGCACCAUUUUAUUUCCUUCACUAAGUCAACUGUAUGAUGAAAACCCAUCCCUGUGGACGAUCUUAGAGCCACUAUACUAUGUUAUCUAUGCUAUCCUAGUGUGAGGUGAUUUAGGUUUUAUAAAUUUUGUUGAUAACACCCGUCUGAGCCAGAAUCAAAUGGAACCACUGAACCAGGGACAAAUCAACAGCCUAUAUGGGAGGGACACAAGUUUAAUUGAUUUGCAUUUCAGCGUUAUAGAUAAGUAUGUUUUGGAAGAUUUGUUCUGGAAAUACUGCACCAAGUACGAUUCUUUUUCUCUUGAGUGAGUCCAUUUGCAUGCCAAUUAACGAGUUGAAAAGUAGGAGCACCUACCUCGUGCUCAUGGAACCGAAUGUCAGUGAAGUGGGGCUCCUUUUAGCCUCUUGUGUUUCUGUUCCAACCAAGGCGGCGUAGGGAAAAACAACAAUAUGUCUGUGCUAAAUAUCAACGCAUGAUAGAUGUUUUUUUUUUUUUUUUUGGUAUGUCAAGGCUAACGAAUGAAAUGCAUUAGCUUGUUUUGUGACUAUAACUGCAAAUGUCCAAAUUGGAGUAUCUCCAUUUCUCACUUCGGAUGGUUAACUUUAUAAACAAGAUAUAGGAAACAUGUGAACAUCUUGAGGAACAAUUCAAAUUAUUCAUUAGAAGUCCUGGGUUAAGUUCCAAGAUUUAAAUCAGACCCUUCUAGCAGCUUCAAGGGUACUUAGCAACCUAUAACAUAUUAAUGAAGAUUUAGGAUUUAGACUCCGGAAUACAAAUAAAUAUGUAUCUCAUGCUUUGACUAGCUUCCCUACAUAUGCAUAAAAUGGAGAUGACCCAAAAAAAAUAGCAGAAUCUAGCUUCCCUACAUAUGCACAAAAUGGAGAUGACCCAAAAAAUAGCAUAAUCGCCUUAGUUUCUGUGGUUAAGGUGAUUCUCCGCUUAAUAUCCACAUUGACUCAUUAUGCAAAAUCAACUGAGCUAAUUUUAUUUAUUUAUUUAAUGUCAAAUAGGAACUCCUAAUUAACUGAUUACUGUCGAAAAGUGCUAUUUUGUAGACCUAAUUAUAAGGGUUUUAAGCACCUUUGAGUAGUAAUCAUAUUCAUUUAACCUAAUUAAUUCAUUAAGCUCCUUAGUAAUUAGUUCUAACCAUUUUUAGUGGCAAGUUUACAUGUUUUUCAUCAGCUUAUGAACCAAUUCAAGCAUGCCAAUUGAUGGAGGAGCUACUUGGGCGAGUUAAGCAAGGAUUUUGGACGUUUACAGGCUUGAAUUUCAAGUGGAAACACGAGCACAAGCAAUGGGAACACCAUUUCGCAAGGGGAGGCAAUUCACCUUGCCAAAUGACCAAUUUCGCAAGGGGAUUUUCCUCAUGGUGCAAAAUUUGGUCAUUUCGCACCAUGAAGAAACCACCUUGCAAAAUUUCGCAAGGUGGAUUUAGGCACCUUGCGAAAUGCCAAAUUUCACAAGGUGGCUUUUCACCUUGCGAAAUUUGGACCUUUCAUCUUCCCCCCUUGCGAAAUGCCUUUGAAAUCCCCUGUUUUGAGACGCUGUUGAUGAUAUUCCACUGCCGGUUCUCCAAGAUAUUUUGCUUGACUUUUAGCUUUAUAAAUACCUAUUUUACCCUUGUAAUCAACCAAUGAAAAGGUUGCUUUUGUAAUAGCUCUUGUAAUUUAGCUUUUUAUUGUCUUUAAAUAGAGGUGAAGAGCCUCAGACACGAUCAUCUUGUAACCUGUAACUUUAUAAGUUAUAAGAGCACUUUUGUUCAUACGCUUCUUUUCUCUUUUCUUUCUCAUUUUCUUAGUAGCCAAACAUCCUUGGAGGAUGAAAUCCCCAAGGAUGAGAGGCUAAAACCUUUUAGUUUCUUGAAGUAAUGGAUGCCAUGUGAAGCUCCCGUGUCAGGAUGGAGAUUUCCAAGCCAUAAAUGUAAGUAGCUGAGCGUCAUAAAUGUUUUCAUUCAAAGUAAAGCUUUUAAUCCCUCUGACUUGCUUUGAAUGGCCAAUACUUGAUAACCUUUUGGUCUCAAUGGAUUCUUAUUGUUAGAUCCACUGACGUUCAUUAGUUAUCUCCUACGAGCCAUUGUAUUGCAAGUCGAGGAGAUGACCUAUACCAAUAAAAGAGCAUUUAUGAGGUUCAACUACCCUUUUUGUAAGUUUUCAAGGACUAAAACUCAGUUGUUAAACUCAUACCGGUUCGAGAAGUAAGCAUCACCUUAGUUGCUUCCCCAACUCGAGGUGAAAAGUCCCAAAAUCUCCAUUUUUACACAGUGAGUUAAGCAUGGCUAUCCAAAGCUUUAAGAAACUUCUUUUUCCAUCUUUUAACCUAUUUUCAUGUUAGUUUAGUUUACAACACCUUCAUCUUUUUAUGUUUUCAUCUUAACCUAAUUUUUAUUAAGAAAAGUUCACUCCAUCCUCCGAACUUCACCAGUUAAAGUAAAAACCCUUCCCAGUGUUCGAUCCUAGAGCCACUAUGCUAUAGUAGCUUUGCUACUUUAGUGUAAGGACCUUAGGUAUAAAUUUUGUUGAUACCCUUACAUGCCAAGCUACCAAGAGUCGGGUUAUCAUUAACCUAACCAUUGGCCUGUGUAAAUUGAUUUCACAUGCACAAUGUUGUAGUAGAAGUCCAUAUUUUGAAUUUUAUUUUUGUAAAGGUAAGGAAAAUGAAGCAUUGUGUAAUUAUAAAAAUAACUUCAUUGGAAUUCACAAGGUUCACCCAAAAUGGAGCUACAUCUGUAUUCUAUCCUACAGUAGACUAUAUAGAUUGUACAAUAGUAAAUUGCAAAUACAAUUAAUAAGUCUUGUGCUUCCUUACUAAUAAUCCUUUGACAUGAACAUUGCAGCACUAAGGUCCUCUUGGGAAGACACCUUGCACCCAUGAGAGCACUAAGAGGAAGCAAGGCAGAGUCAUGGGUGCAAUGUCAUGACUUGUUGUUGCACCAAGAGAGGCUUGGUGAUGCCAUGGUGUUGCAGUAGCAAGAAUGUUGCCUUGGCAGGGACACGAUCUAGGGAUAGAUGCCAAGAAAGGCUUAGCACUCACAUGAGUUGCACAAAGAUGAAUGUAAUAGAGCAUCAGAGAGACGUCUUGGCAAGUAAAUGAAUGGAUCCAAGAGACAACAACAUGAGGAGUUUCAAAUGGAUAAGGAAUGACUCAAAGACAUUUGAAAGCUACAAGUUGGAUUCUAAUUACGAUUGCAAUUUGAGUUUGAGUAGGAGUUUAGAUUUUGAUUGUAAUUGUAGUAUGAGUUGGACUAGGAUUGCUUAUCCUUAGUCAAUAUAGGAGCGGUUCGUGUCACCCUAUGAAAAGAGUUUGAGUAGGGACUAGGAUUGCUUACUCCUAGUCAAAUAUGGAGUAGGUGGUGCCACACCUAUAAAAAAAAGGGACAACAUGAGAGAGAGAGAGAGAGAGAAAGAGAGAGUGAAUUCACUAAAGAUAUUGUGGGAGUUUUGCUUUGUUACGUCUUGUAUUAUUACUUAGAAUAGGAAUAAAAUACAAGUUGGGGCUAGAGCCCCAUAAUUAAUCUCGUGUGCCUUUGUGGUUAUUCUUUAUUUGUCAUCUCGUGUGGAUUGGAUUAGGUUGACUUAGAGGGCUUCUAAGCACCACCUUUGUGGGUUAUUAUUUAUUUUCCAUCUCUUGUGGAUUAGAUUAGGUUGACUUAGAGGGCUUCUGAGCACCACCUUUGUGGGUUAUUAUUUAUUUUCCAUCUAUUGUGGAUUAGAUUAGGUUGACUUAGAGGGCUUUUAAGCACCACAUUUGUGGGUUAUUCUUUAUUUUCCAUAUCGUGUGGGUUGGAUUAGGUUGACAAGGAGAAAAAUUAUGUGGGAAAUUUGUGUUGGGACACUUACCAUAACCAAGUAAAAUCUACCAAGUCCUUUGUAAUAUCUUCAACAAAUAUUUUAGACUAGUUCUUUCAGUUAGUGUAAAGGAGGAAGAAGUGGUAUUGAUUCUAGAAAUAGGGUGUGUGUAUUUGAACUACAAUCCUUAUGAUCCUUAGGUCUCUAAACCUUCGUGAUGGGCUCCCUGACAUUUCAUAGGUUGUGCUACACAUGCGUUUGAAAUUUAGAGUGCGUUUGACAGUGAUUCCGGGAAGUGUUUUUGGCCUUUCUUACACUUGAAAAUUUUUAUUUUUCAAGUAUUAGAAAUGCUACAAACACUUUUGAAAAUUACUGUCAAACACACUCUUAGGAGCGCACAUAUAUAGUAGAAAACUAGAAAUUGUGGUUUUUUUAGGAUUUACUGUAAUGUCAUUAGGAGGGUAGUAAGUUGAAAUUGAGUAUGAACAAAUAUUUCUUUCUUUGGGAUGUUCUUCUAGUAGGUGCUGAUGAAACUGUUCUUUCUACUGCCAAUGUCACAUAUCAGCCAGAAAUUGAAAAUUUCAGUCAAGGUGUCCUCUGUUUUAGUGGUGAGGAAAGCUAGAAAUUUUAAGGUGAAGUUUUGUUAAAAACCUUAAGUAGCUGGGAUAUCAGGCCUGUUUUGCUUGAAAAAAAAAGUUGCAAGAUAACUCAUAUGCCAAACAGGUUCUGAUAUUGUGAAUCUAUCGGCAGACAUCAGUAAUCUCAUCUUCUGAGAUGGAUGUUGGGGGUGCAUGUGGUGGUGGAGGGGCAAGGUUUCAUUUGGUUUAUUUUGUUGAUGGAUAUUGUCUAGCCACCUGCGCCAAGUUUGAGGGGUGGUGGGUUGUGAUGACCCUACAAUUACUAUUAAUUUCUUCAUCUUUUACCGAUUAAAGUGUCCGAACAGUCGAAGUUACCCUUAUGCAUGUCAACUUGAUCACUUACCUCUUCAAUGGAGUUUAUGCUGGUUCAUUUAGGAACUGAUUUUUAUUGUUAUGUAUUAUAUGCUGAUGUUUAGGUCUCUCCAUCAUCACUAUAUACAAAAAUUCUAGGUUGAUACUAUAGGUUGAGAUUUAUUUUUUAAAUAAAAAAUAAUAAAAAUAAAAAUUAUGGUGAUGUUUAGUUGUUUUAUGGAAAAUUUUAACAAGUAAAAGUUAUUUUUGGGCAAGUUUUCAAACAAAAAGAAAAGUAAAAGUUGUUUUGACAAAAACAUAUAGAAAAAAAAAUCAUAGAAAAUAAAUAAUUUCCCCAUAUUCUAACUUUUUUGAAUUUUUCUCAAUGGGCAAAGGAAUAUCAAAUCAAGUUUGAGUAGGAUUUCUUAAUUUUUAAAAUAACUUACAAUUAAAAAAUUUUGGUGUUUUCAUUUUUGGACAAUUUUUUAUUAAGCAAAUGGACUCUGAGUCAUGCAAGAGAUAUGGUUCAUUAACCGGUCGAACAAUUUUUUUAAAUUAAUUUAAAAGUCAAAUACAUAAUCAAUUUCACAAAAUUUAUAAACAAAAAUAGGUUUAGAGAAGAUCUACACAUAAUUUUACUUUUCUAAUUUUAUUUUAUUUUAUUUUUUGUUGGAAAAUAGUCUUCAAAUCAUGUAAGAUUUAAUAGGUUAAAUUUGUUAACAAUAAAUUUUAAAUUAUAAAAUAUAAUCUGGAACUCAAAAAUCAAUUCAAGUAAUGCUAAAAAAAAAUCAAAUUUGGUAUAGAAUGACUUUGUAAAUUUUUUUACAAAACAAAUGAAUUUUAAAUCAAGUGAGAUUUAAUGCAUUAGAUUUUUAUCAAAUAUAGUAAUUUUAAAAAUAAAUUUGGAACUCAACAAUAGACACAAUAAAUACCAAAAAAUAAUGAACCAAAAUUGGUUUGGAAUAACUCCACAACCUUUUUUUUUUUUUUUUGGUGCACACGAAUUUUCUUACUAGGUAUAUUGCUUUCAAAUUGAGAAAGAUUUACCAUUUAGAUUUUUUUUUAAUGAGUUUAAUGGUAUUUUAAAAUAAUUCAAAAUUUAAAAAAUUGACUAAUUAAUAUUAUAAAUUGAUAAACCAAGACUAUUUCAAAAUGCAUUGGGGGCUAAGGGGGUUGAAAAUAGGGACAAUGGGAUGGGUUUGGGACAUGACACUCAUAUCUCAUUUCCAUUCCAAUUACACAGUUAUCUCCCAUCCUUAUCCCAAACUUGUGUUGGAGCAAGUUGAUUUGUUCCCAUCUUUGUUGACGAAAUGACUAAUAACCUCAUCCCCUCCUUAUCUUAGAUGUACAUUUUGUCAAAUUUGAUCAGGUAUGAUUGAUCCAAGCCCUAACCCUAAUUGGUAAUGAGUGAAUACUACACCUAAUUGCAUUCUUCUUUCAUUGCAAAAUAAUGAGAUUAUAAUAAUCUAGCAAAUAAGAAAAAAUAGUAUGGAAGUUCAAAUUAACACCAUAACUAUCAAUAAUUUUAAGCUUAUAGAUGACUUAAAUGAUUAAAAACUAAUGCAAAAUCCUAAAAAAAAUAAAAAUCAUAUAAAGAAUUCACAAGAGAACAGAAUGAACAAAAACCAAAUAUGAACAUGGGUCAACAUUAGUUAUGGAUUUGGAUUCCUUUCAAGGCCAAUCUUUGAACCAAGACUUCAUCAAAUCAACUACUUCAAAGGCUUUUGUGUUCUUCUUGGGUUGUGCUCUCAAACAAAGACUUCGAGGUGAUGUUCUAGAUGAUUGAAUUACACAUAUUUAGGGUGGAGAGAUUGGAGAAGCUUGAAGAUGCCAACGAUGGGUACAAUUGAGUGGUCAAUAAGAACAAUGUAGCCUAUGACUAGUUUGAUGUCAUGGUACAAGAGUUUUAGGCAUUGAGGUUAAAGCAAGAGCAACAUGGAAUUGAUUUCGGAGUCUUUCAGUUAGUGUAAAGGAGGAAGAAGUGGUGUUGAUUCUAGAAAUAGGGUUUUAAGUGGUGCGUGAUUACUACUCAAAAAGUGCUAUUUGAUAGCCUUUAAUUAAUCCUUUUUAACACUUUUGAGUAGUAGUUUAGGCCUUUUAACUCAAUUGGCAUGUUAAGGAUCCUUUAAAGCAAUUUUGAUCACUUUGUGCAAGUUUUGGUGUUUUUGUUAGUAUUUUGAUCACCAAAGCAAGUCAAGAAUGAGGAGAACUAUGAGGAAUCAUGGGCAAAGCUUAGAAUUCAAUUGCCAAGAGUGAAUCCGGAUUGCAAGGAGAAAAAGCAAAGAGAAUCUGUCAUGAAGCCUAUUCUUGAUGACAGUCGUAGCAGCCACUUUUGGAGCACUUUCUGAAGUCCAAAUGAUGCAAGCUAUAUACCAUUUCAAAGAUCAGGAAGUCAACAAUCCAAUGCUUCAAACGGUGCGCGAUUCGGAGUUGAAACGAAGAAGUUGCAGCCAUUACAAGCCAGUCACUCUAAAGUGUUGCGGAAUCAGCCUUUUGUUGCGAGAAUUUCGCAGCACUUUUGUACAGUAAGGUGUUUCUCCUUCUGACGAUGCACGAACCAUGCCGCGAGAGGGAAGCUAGGAACUUCAAGAUGGAAGCCAACUUUGCAGCCUGGUGAAGAUAGCUUGGUCUUGCGAAAUAAUUUCGCAGCCCUCUUGGGUGUCUGCGAAAUUUCGCAGGCACCACUUUUUUCCUGCGAAAUGGCUCCGGAAGCCUCCCGAAGCUUGCUACCGACAUUGGGAGAUAUUUUCCAUUAGAUUUUUGUUGUCUAAAUUCCAAAAUACUCCUUGUAAACCACCAAUUACAUGAUUCCUUAGUUUUUAAGUUAGUAAAAAGACCAAAUAUCUAUGUAAUAAUUAGUUUUAUAUUAGUUUGCUAUAAAUACCUCUCGGGAGCAUGUUCUCAGAGAGGAGUUCCUUCUGUAACCAUUUUGGUAAGCAAGUAAAGUCUUUUCUUUCUACUGCCUUACCUUCUCACUUUGUAUUUUCAUUUUAUUUCUAAGUUAUGAAUUCUCUGAGGAGCUUUCCCCAGAGAAUGAGUAACUAAACCUCCAAUUCCUUGGAGCUAAGGUUGCCGGGGAAGGUUCCAAGUGCAAGAAUGCAAAGCUCUGUGGUUUUAGCUAGUAAUGAAGAGGAAGUGAAAUCCUUUAGUGAUUUCAAUGUUUUUAGUUAACUUAAAACACCUUGGAGUCACCUGGGCCAACACUUGGUAAGGCAAGUGAUUUCCAACCGUGGAAAUGCACUAGUUUACCCCUUGCGAGCCUCUGGUAGGUGACUUCAAGGUAGGAUUUUCUGGAAUUACCAACACUUGGUAAGCUUUUGGACUCCUAGGAGACAUCCAUUAGUUAUCUCUUGCGAGUUUGUGAAGGGGAAUCCAAGGUUAAAGAUCACCUUGAAUGGUAAGUGCUCGUGAGAGGCAUGAACCAUUGCAAGUUGUAUCAGUGAGAGAAUUAAAGUGAAAUCUAAUUGAAGGAGUCUCUGUACAUCACCGGUUAGAGAAUUGACUAUAAGUUGAAUCUCUAAUGCGAGGAAAUGAACCAUCUGACCGGAGCUAUGUCUUUUGCAUGAGGAACCACCCCAGUGAACCUAAAUCUCCAAGGAAUGCUUUUCUUCCUAAAUUAUUCCAAACUUCUGUUAAGUUAGUUAGUUUAAGUCUAAACCUUUACCAAUCAAACUUUGUGUUUUAUUUCUUAAGCUAACCGUGAAAUGAAACAAAACCAAUUCACUUGGAAUUGGUAUCCUUGAUUGCUUGCAAAUCAUUCCCAGUGAACGAUCCUUAGAGCCACUAUACUAUAGUAGCUUUGUAUUUGCUACCCUAGUGUAUGGUGUUAUAGGUAUAAAUUUUGUUGAUCACUUCCUCAAUCAAGGAACACCAGCUGAACACAAAUCAGCUGAGACACCAAUUGGGCAUGAGUCAAAUGGCGCCGUUGCCGGGGAAUGAGUGUCAAGAUCAUUGUGAUACCAUUUUUGAGCACUUGUGAUUUUCAUCACAAGUUGGUAAAGUUUCUUUCACUUUACUAAUUUUCAUUCUCUCUUUGUUUAUUUACAAUCUAAGUUUAUCUUUUUAAAAUUUAGUCUAGUUUAAUUUUGCUAUUGUAGCCUUGUUUCUCUUGUUGUCCUCUGUUCUUGUUGUCCUCUGUUUUCAUUUUAGUUGCAGCUGAAUACUAGUUGUGUAUGCCAAAGUGGAUACGAGACAUUGGAGGUAGGCUUAUUAAGUGUGAUACACCUCAGAGAGGAGAAUUGGAAGUAAUCUUGAAUAUCAUGGAGGCUGCACCUGAAGAUCAGCAUAGUCACCAAGGUCGUCAAGACAAUCUCAAUGAAUUCAGAUCAAUGAGGGACCGUAUGCAUCCACCUCGUAUGAGUGCACCAUCAUGUAUAGUGCCCCCUACAGAGCAACUAGUGAUCAGACCAUAUCUUGUUCCACUUCUACCAACUUUCCAUGGGAUGGAAAGUGAGAAUCCGUAUGCACACAUCAAGGAAUUUGAAGAUGUUUGUAAUACAUUCCAAGAGGGAGGAGCUUCAAUUGAUUUGAUGAGGCUUAAGUUAUUUCCUUUUAAUUUAAAGGAUAAGGCCAAAAUUUGGCUUAAUUCUUUAAGGCCAAGGAGUAUCCGCUCUUGGACUGAUUUACAAGCUGAAUUCCUCAAGAAAUUUUUUCCUACUCAUAGAACAAAUGGCUUGAAAAGGCAAAUUUCAAACUUCUCAGCUAAAGAGAAUGAGAAAUUCUAUGAGUGUUGGGAAAGAUACAUGGAAGCUAUAAAUGCUUGUCCUCACCAUGGCUUUGAUACUUGGCUACUGGUGAGUUAUUUUUAUGAUGGUAUGUCCUCCUCAAUGAAGCAACUCCUCGAGAAAAUGUGUGGAGAAGAUUUCAUGAGCAAAAAUCCAGAGGAAGCUAUGGAUUUCUUGAGCUAUGUAGCUGAUGUUUCAAGGGGAUGGGAUGAACCAACUAAAGGAGAAGUGGGAAAGAUGAAGUCUCAGUUGAAUGCUUACAAUGCAAAGGCUGGGAUGUAUACUUUAAAAGAGGAUGAUGACAUGAAAGCAAAGUUGGCAGCUAUGACAAGAAGAUUGGAGGAGCUGGAGCUGAAAAGAAUGCAUGAAGUGCAAGCUGUUGCUGAAGCACCAGUGCAAGUGAAGUUGUGUCCCAAUUGUCAAUCGUUUGAACAUUUGGUAGAGGAAUGCCCUGCAAUUUCAGCUGAAAGGGAAAUGUAUAGAGAUCAAGCAAAUGUUGUUGGACAAUUCAGGCCCAAUAACAAUGCUCCUUAUGGAAAUACCUACAAUUCAAGUUGGAGGAAUCAUCCAAAUUUUUCAUGGAAGGCCAGAGCAACUCAAUACCAACAGCCGGAUCCACCAUCUCAACAAUCUUCAAGUAUUGAACAAAUAAUAGCUAAUCUCAGCAAGGUAGUGGGAGAUUUUGUGGGAAAGCAAGAAGCCACCAAUGCUCGAGUGGAUCAAAGAAUGGACAGAGUGGAUCAAAGAAUGGACAGAAUGGAGAGUAUGUUGAACAAAAGAAUGGAUGGAAUGCAAAAUGAUAUGAAUCAAAAAUUUGAUAACAUCCAAUAUUCAAUUUCAAGGCUUACAAAUUUGAAUACACUGCAAGAAAAGGGAAGAUUUCCUUCUCAACCUAACCAAAAUCCCAAAGGUGUCCAUGAAGUGGAAAGCCAUGAGGGAGAAUCAUCACAGGUGAAAGAUGUGAAAGCUUUGAUCACUCUAAGGAGUGGUAAGAAAAUUGAGCAGCCAACACCCAAGCCACAUGUUGAGAAAGAAGAAGAGAUGAAGAAAGGGAAGGAAAUGGAAGAUAAAGGCAGUGAGAUCAGUGAAGAAAAGAAGGACUCUGAUGCAACAAUGAAAGUAAUUCCAGAGAAGGAGCUUCUGAAGGAAGAAAUGCUGAAGAAAUCAACUUUUCCACCUUUUCCUCAAGCAUUACAGGGGAAAAAGGGGGUUAGAAAUGCAGCUGAAAUCCUAGAAGUAUUGAGGCAAGUGAAAGUUAAUAUUCCACUGCUGGAUAUGAUCAAACAAGUUCCAACGUAUGCAAAAUUCCUAAAGGACUUGUGUACUAUCAAAAGAGGGUUGACUGUAAACAAGAAAGCCUUCUUGACUGAGCAAGUAAGUGCAAUCUUACAGUGUAAGUCUCCUUUGAAGUACAAAGACCCUGGAAGUCCUACCAUUUCAGUCAUGAUUGGAGGAAAGGUAGUGGAGAAAGCCUUGCUAGACUUGGGAGCAAGUGUGAAUUUGCUUCCAUAUUCUGUCUACAAGCAACUGGGACUUGGAGAGUUGAAGCCAACAGCAAUCACUUUGUCUCUGGCAGAUAGAUCAGUGAAAAUUCCAAGAGGGGUAAUUGAGGAUGUAUUGGUUCAAGUAGAUAAUUUCUACUAUCCUGUAGAUUUUGUUGUUCUUGAUACAGAUCCUACUGUAAAGGAAGCUAAUUUAGUUCCUAUCAUCCUUGGAAGGCCAUUUCUUGCAACUUCAAAUGCAAUCAUCAACUGUAGAAAUGGGCUUAUGCAACUCACUUUUGGUAACAUGACACUGGAUCUAAAUAUUUUCUAUAUGUCUAAAAAGCAAAUCACUCCAGAAGAAGAAGAGGGUCCAGAAGAGCUAUGUAUUAUUGAUACUUUGGUGGAGGAGCACUGCAAUCAACAUAUGCAAGAUAAGUUGAAUGAAAGUUUUGUGGAUAUUGAGGAAGGUUUUUCUGAAUCUCCUAAUGGGCUUGCUACUCUACAAAGUUGGAGAAAGAUAGAAGGAAUUCUACCUUUGUUCAAUGAAGAAGAGGAGGCAGCUGUUGAAAAAGAAAUUCCAAAACUCAAUCUGAAGCCUUUACCUAUGGAGCUGAAAUAUACAUAUCUUGAAGAAAAUAAUCAAUGUCCUGUCGUAAUAUCUUCAUCUCAAACCAAGUCUCAAGUGAAGGAUGCAAGCUUCAAAUGGGAUCCGGGCAAACUGAAUCAGGAAGGGCAAAAAGUUUUGAUGUAUGACACAAGACUCCAUAUCUUUCCUGGGAAGCUCAAGUCAAGGUGGAUUGGUCCAUUUGUUAUUCACCGAGUAUAUUCCAAUGGAGUGGUGGACUUAUUGAAUUCCAAUGGCAAGGACAGCUUUAGAGUCAAUGGAUAUCGUCUUAAGCCGUUCAUGGAGUCAUUCAAAUCAGAAAAGGAGGCAAUCAACCUCCUUGAACCUCAAAAAGCCUAAGUGAAAUGGGUUUGCUGGACGUGGUUUUACCACAGUCCAAAAAUUUUUGUAAAUUUUGUAAAUUUUCAAGUUGUUUCCAUGCUUUUAAUCUUAGUUUUUGAUUUUAAAUCAUGUUUUUAGGUGUGUUUUAAUCGUUUUAUAUGAUCCCAGGCGGAAGAAAUUUCAAGGGGAUUGAAAAGAAAAAAAUCGGGUCGAAAUUGGAGCCGAAACAGAGCAAAAACAGGGGAAAAACAGAGCUCUGCGAAAUUUCGCAGGGUGAAGGAAACUUCUGCGAAAUUGGCAUUUUGCUGCCAAACCAUUCCGCAGCACUGUAGAAGCCUCUGCGAGUGUAUUUCGCAAUUGCGAAAGUGGAUUUGGCACACGAGUGCCACUUCGCAGCACAGUGACAUCAAUUUCGCAGCUGCGAAACUCACUGCGAAGUUGCUGCGAAAAUGGCAAGUUGCUGCGAAAUUGGCGUUUUGUUGCGAAACGUAAUCUGACCCCUGGGCUUCCGUUUUUCCUAUUUAUACCUGUCAAAAGUGCUGCGAAAAAGGUUUCAAAAAUUAGAGCACCAUUCUCGCAGCCCUUUCAUCUUCUUCGCCAAGCCACGCCGUCCGUUUCUCCGGUCGUCUUCUCCGUUUAGCAGCGCCGGCCAAAGAUCGAUAGCCCAAAAAUGGCACGAACGCGAGGGGCAAAGUCUUCAUCCCCUUCGAACCGCAAAAGGAGUCUGCGAAAGGAGCCAAGUUCAGGCUCUGUUCCAGAACCUGCUCCAAAGCCUUCGCCGUCGAGACCACAACCUUCUCCAGUGAAGCCGGCGCCACCAAAGCCGCCGGCAAGGCGAUAUUUAACCAGGUCAGGUGGUCAGCCAUUGAAGAAGAAAGCCAGAGUUGAGAGCUCUGAACCAAUCGAUUUGACUGAGCAAUCCCCUGAGAAAUCACCAAAUCCUUCACCGGUACAAAUUCCAGUGCCAUCACCGGUUCCCUCGCCAAUUCCCUCACCAGAAGCAACUCCAAUUCCAUCGCCGGUACCAUCUCCGGCACCCCAAGAAAAAGCUCAGGAGCCUCAAGCGCCAAUUCCAGAGCCCCAAAUUGCAGCUGAAGCACCUCUGGAAGAAGUGAUCCGAAGGCCAAUGCUGCCUCAGCCCCCAAUCGAAGGAAACCUGGAUUGCCGAACUCGGGCAUUCCAUUCUGAGCUUUGCUUCGAUUUAACAGCAUUCAGAGUGAGGCCAGAGCUUGCCCAAUCCUUCCAACUGCUGAGGAGAUAUCAUAUGGAGCAUCUGCUAGCUCCAAGGGAUUUUUUCUAUCCCCGGGUAGUCACGGAUUUCUACCAAACCAUGACAACCAAAGAAGUAAGAAAUCCAACUCUGAUUCAUUUCAUAAUUGAUGGAAGGCAUGGUAUUUUGGGAGCAAGACAUAUUGCUGAAGCCCUGCAAAUUCCUUUUGAGCCAACUCAAUUCGACAAUUUUAAAGCUUGGACAAAUCCUACUGAGUUAGAGAUGGUUAGCACACUAACCAGAGGAGCUGCAAAUCGAUCGCAUUUGUUGAGGGGGGAGCUACCUCCAGUUAUGUUUUUGAUUGAUGCCUUUUUGAGGCAUAAUAUCUAUCCCCUGCAGCAUUGGACCCAAAGAAGGGGAAUUCUCCUAGAAGCCUUGUACAAAAUGUCUGAAGGAUUCUUCUUUGGGCCUCAUCAUCUGAUCAUGGCAGCCCUUCUAUACUUUGAGGAGAAGGUUCACAAGAAGAAGCUUCAAAGAGCAGAUUGCAUUCCACUCCUCUUCCCAAGGCUGCUAUGCCAAGUUUUGGAGCAUCUCGGAUACCCCUCUGAGCCUCAGCAGGAAAGAAAGAGAAUAUGCCGUGAGCCUUUUACCCUUGAUAAAUGGAAUAAUAUGACGGCCUACAAAAUUGAUCAGCCUGGGCAGCCUCAGCCAGCAGCAAGGAGAGUCUCCCCAAGACAUAUACCUGAAGGUAUAACACUUGCUACUCCUGCCAUCCCUCGAGCUCCACCAGCUGCACCUGCUCCAUCACAGCCAUCCACAUCAGCUGAGCCGAGGAUGGCCAUCCCUAUAUCCGAAUAUCGAGAGCUGUGCCGUGCAUUGGAGACUCUUACAGCUUCUCAGAGCAAUCUUGCUCAGGAGUUGGCAGCCAUUAAAGCAUGCCAGGAGCAGAUGUUAGCCUCUCAGACUCAACAAGCUGCCAUCCUAAGGCAGCUUCAAGUCCAUUUCGAUCUGCCACAAGCUGUAGAGCCCUCUAUUCCUACUCCACCAGAGCCACACUCUCAGCCUUCAGAGUCUCAUCCUCCAGAACCCGAAGCACCAGCUGAUCCACCUACUGAGGAGGCAGAUCCUUCUGCCUAGCACCAUCACCCCCCUCAUCAGACAUUAUAUAUAUAUUUGCUGUUUAUGUUUUUAUGCAUGUUUGUUUUGUUUUAGUUGAAAAGAAAUCCCAGUAUUUUGGUACUAUAUAUGGGAUUCCUUGUGUUACUUGUCUUUAGUAUUGUAAUCACAUGAACUCAAAGUAAUACAAGUUGACUAUUUCUUGUUAAAAGUUAGCAUUAAAGUUUCCUUAUUUCCUUUUCUCACAUAUUCUAUUCUUUUUGAAACAUGUGGUUUUCCCCAAUCAAUAUUCGAAUUUGAUAUCAGCAUGGAGGUACCACUUCCUCCCUUUUAUUACAGUCACUCAAAUCACAUUGAGGACAAUGCUCAGUUCGGUUGGGGGGUAUGAGGAAGGAAGUAUUCUAAACCUUUUUGGUAUUGCAAUUAUAUUGGUUAAUUAGUUGUAGAUUUUACUUUUUACUAGUGUUACUCUAUUCUCCAUGAAUUUUGAGGAAAAAUUUUCAAAUUAAACCAAGAGAAAUUGAACUGUUGUUUUUCACUUGACUUAGAGUAUGGAUUAUGCUUACUAAAGUGGUUCAAUUGUUGAAACUUCUACUGAAAUUGAAUUGAGUUCUUCCACUUUAAGCUAUCCACACACUGUGCACAUUAGUUUCCGAUUAUAAGAUGAAAAGCUAUUUCCCUCUUGACUUAGUAUAUUUUUGGGACUUGGUAUAUUUGACCUCAUUUGAUAAAAAUUGAAACACCCUGCAAAAGGCCAAUGAGCCUUUGAAAUAAAGAAAGUUGUUUGCUUGCCUUGAAACCCGAGCAAGGUCUGAGGGGUAUAUGGUGAAAAUCUUUAAAGCCUGGUGCCCUAAGCCUUAAUUGGUUGGGAGUCACCGACCUCAAUGCUCGUUACAAGGGUGAAUAGGUAGAGUUAGCAUAUGGUAGAUGCUUGGGUAUUAGAAAUUCAUUCUUAAAAGUCCGGGGAAAAAUCCGAGGAGUUAGUGGUUGAAAGAUCCUUAAAACUUGGUGCCCUAAACCUUAAUUGGUUGGGAGUCAUCGAUGGACCCCCAUUACAUGGACAAGUCAGAAAGAGUACCCCAUAAAGCUACCUUAAAAAAAAAAAAAAAAAAAAAAAAAAAAAAAAAGAUGAAAGUGUGUUCUUUUCUUAUUGAUUUUGGUCAGUUUGCUAAAGUGUUGAAAAGAGAUAGGUUGGGGGGUGAGAUUAGUAGCAUAUUAUUCUCGGAACCUAAGGAACCAAUACACAUAGAUUUUUGUGGAAGAUUGAAGUUUAGUUCUUAGAAAAUGAAAUGAUUUUAAAACUUCAGUUUGCAUAAUGCACUCCCUUGAUUGACAGUGUUUAGCAUAGGUGUUAUGACUCUUGUUGAGAUUUGGGUUUGUAUUUCUUUAAUGAUUCAUGUGAGAAAUAGAUCAUCAUGCCACUUGAGAAUUAUUUUCCUUUUAGCAUGAUGUUGUAAAUUUUAGAUUAGUUUGCUAUUUAUUUUUUAUUUUCUCUCCUAUAUUGCUAAGGGACUAGCAAUAUGUCGGUUGGGGGGAGUGAUUACUACUCAAAAAGUGCUAUUUGAUAGCCUUUAAUUAAUCCUUUUUAACACUUUUGAGUAGUAGUUUAGGCCUUUUAACUCAAUUGGCAUGUUAAGGAUCCUUUAAAGCAAUUUUGAUCACUUUGUGCAAGUUUUGGUGUUUUUGUUAGUAUUUUGAUCACCAAAGCAAGUCAAGAAUGAGGAGAACUAUGAGGAAUCAUGGGCAAAGCUUAGAAUUCAAUUGCCAAGAGUGAAUCCGGAUUGCAAGGAGAAAAAGCAAAGAGAAUCUGUCAUGAAGCCUAUUCUUGAUGACAGUCGUAGCAGCCACUUUUGGAGCACUUUCUGAAGUCCAAAUGAUGCAAGCUAUAUACCAUUUCAAAGCUCAGGAAGUCAACAAUCCAAUGCUUCAAACGGUGCGCGAUUCGGAGUUGAAACGAAGAAGUUGCAGCCAUUACAAGCCAGUCACUCUAAAGUGUUGCGGAAUCAGCCUUUUGUUGCGAGAAUUUCGCAGCACUUUUGUACAGUAAGGUGUUUCUCCUUCUGACGAUGCACGAACCAUGCCGCGAGAGGGAAGCUAGGAACUUCAAGAUGGAAGCCAACUUUGCAGCCUGGUGAAGAUAGCUUGGUCUUGCGAAAUAAUUUCGCAGCCCUCUUGGGUGUCUGCGAAAUUUCGCAGGCACCACUUUUUUCCUGCGAAAUGGCUCCGGAAGCCUCCCGAAGCUUGCUACCGACAUUGGGAGAUAUUUUCCAUUAGAUUUUUGUUGUCUAAAUUCCAAAAUACUCCUUGUAAACCACCAAUUACAUGAUUCCUUAGUUUUUAAGUUAGUAAAAAGACCAAAUAUCUAUGUAAUAAUUAGUUUUAUAUUAGUUUGCUAUAAAUACCUCUCGGGAGCAUGUUCUCAGAGAGGAGUUCCUUCUGUAACCAUUUUGGUAAGCAAGUAAAGUCUUUUCUUUCUACUGCCUUACCUUCUCACUUUGUAUUUUCAUUUUAUUUCUAAGUUAUGAAUUCUCUGAGGAGCUUUCCCCAGAGAAUGAGUAACUAAACCUCCAAUUCCUUGGAGCUAAGGUUGCCGGGGAAGGUUCCAAGUGCAAGAAUGCAAAGCUCUGUGGUUUUAGCUAGUAAUGAAGAGGAAGUGAAAUCCUUUAGUGAUUUCAAUGUUUUUAGUUAACUUAAAACACCUUGGAGUCACCUGGGCCAACACUUGGUAAGGCAAGUGAUUUCCAACCGUGGAAAUGCACUAGUUUACCCCUUGCGAGCCUCUGGUAGGUGACUUCAAGGUAGGAUUUUCUGGAAUUACCAACACUUGGUAAGCUUUUGGACUCCUAGGAGACAUCCAUUAGUUAUCUCUUGCGAGUUUGUGAAGGGGAAUCCAAGGUUAAAGAUCACCUUGAAUGGUAAGUGCUCGUGAGAGGCAUGAACCAUUGCAAGUUGUAUCAGUGAGAGAAUUAAAGUGAAAUCUAAUUGAAGGAGUCUCUGUACAUCACCGGUUAGAGAAUUGACUAUAAGUUGAAUCUCUAAUGCGAGGAAAUGAACCAUCUGACCGGAGCUAUGUCUUUUGCAUGAGGAACCACCCCAGUGAACCUAAAUCUCCAAGGAAUGCUUUUCUUCCUAAAUUAUUCCAAACUUCUGUUAAGUUAGUUAGUUUAAGUCUAAACCUUUACCAAUCAAACUUUGUGUUUUAUUCCUUAAGCUAACCGUGAAAUGAAACAAAACCAAUUCACUUGGAAUUGGUAUCCUUGAUUGCUUGCAAAUCAUUCCCAGUGAACGAUCCUUAGAGCCACUAUACUAUAGUAGCUUUGUAUUUGCUACCCUAGUGUAUGGUGUUAUAGGUAUAAAUUUUGUUGAUCACUUCCUCAAUCAAGGAACACCAGCUGAACACAAAUCAGCUGAGACACCAAUUGGGCAUGAGUCAGUGCGUUAGAGGAUCAAGAAGAAGAAAAAGAAGGAACUGUUGGAAUUAGUAUGAGUGUGAAGAGAAAAGUAUAUAAAUAAGGGGAAGUAAAAGCAAAGUUCAAAAAGCUAUAUUUUUUUAUUGUUGGUGUAUGGUUGCAUGAUUAUCCCUAUAAAUAAUAGGAGUUUUUUGGUAUUCUACUAGUAGUUGAAGCAUAAUUUCAUAAAUUAAUAUUUAGAGCGGGGUGGGGUGAGUUGUGACAAAAUUCAUACCCGUCCCAAACCUUGGUUCAGAUUUUUAAAAUAUUCUCAAACUUAUCAUAUACCCAACUUUUAUAUUUCAUACUUGUCCUAAUAGAGGCACGUUAGGCCGGGUUACUUGAGUAACCUACAUAAUUGUCAUCCCUAGUUGAAAUACACUUUUUGGCAGUGGCCACCAACUGAGCUAGAAGCUUGAUUGAUUGACCUACAAGAUUAGUUCUCAUCAUUUUAAAAAAAGUUCUGGCUUUGGUUGUGAGUGCAAUUGAAUCUAAACUGGCAUUUGCUUAAUGCAUCUACUUCAAUCCUAAACUUCUUACUUCUUAAGCCUCAAUUGUUGUUAGGAUUUUGGAAAACCCAUUUCCUUAAAUUGUAAAUUUAAGAUAAAAUAAAAUAAAAGUGAGACAUUUCUUGAUUGAAUAUUGUUAAAGGUCCCUUGGCAUUAAGACUUGGUUGAAGCCUUGGAAGAUUAGUGGAACUCUCAACAUGUGUUUGAAUCUUGAGGAGAGUGGAUGUAAGCCAAAAUUUUGUCAAACCAUUAUACAAAUUGAGUUUGAAUCCUCAUUUCUUGAUUUCUUAUUUAUUUGCUUUUUCUUAUUAUUACUUGAAUUGUCAUUUGCAUUCAUUAAUGUUAAAAUUGGUUAUAAUUAACCAACACUAAUUCUCUUUCCCCUUCCCUUUCUUGGGUGUAAACCUAGGUUGGAUUAACUAGAUAAAUCUAUUAAGAUGGUAAAAGAAUAAUUAUUCUUAACAUACAUAAGAUCAUCUUCAAUCAAAUGACUCAUUGGCUAAUAUGUUGAAUUUGCUUAUUACUUGCAACUCAAAAUUGUGUUCUAGUUGUGUCAAGUCCCCAGUGUAUGGACAUUAAAUUUGUAGUACGUGAUGAGUAAUUAGAUGGUCCAACUCCAAGAAAGUGAUUGAAAAGUAGUUCAAGAAAGGUGCAAAAGGGAAUUGUUUUGGUAUUUUCGUUUUUAUUCUUGAAGGUGGCAGAGCUAAAAUUUGAGAAAUCAAGCAAAACAUACUGAAAUUACAUUGAAAGAAAGAAGAUGGGAGUUAAUGUCUUGCAGUACAUGAUAAGGACUUCAUGCAUGUAGUGUGACCCAUGUCUUGGACUGAUGCCAACUCACGGUUACACUUAUACCCUUGGUUCUCUCUUUACUACCUUGGCUAACCUAGAUCAGGCUAUGAGAUAGGCUCCUCACCACACCAUUACUUGCCCAUUAAUUAGAGACAUUUUCAAGCAAUGAGGUAACAUGGUGACACCAAGAGGGUCUAUUCCUCGCCCGGAACAAGUCUAGACUUGGUCUCAAAAAAAUGGAGAAAAAUGAGGUGUCGUUAUGUAGAAAUACAACAACCAUGCCUUCCUCAUUACUUAGAUUCAGAAUGUGAAGGUGAAAUUGAGAAACAGAAACUCUUGAAACCAAAAUGAAAAUUGAUACUUUUACGAAGAAUUACAACAACAUUAGAGGAAGACUACAUUCUUCCUCUUUAUUCCUACAUUUCUACACUACUUCUACUCCACUCCAUAUUUCUACAUACAUCUUUAAUCAGUCUUCCCUCCUUUAUAUAGAGCCAUCUUCACACAAAUUUCGCAAGGUAGAAAAGAGGAAUGAAACUUGGAGCAAGGUUCGACUACUGGUUGUAGCUUGUCAAGGCUGGAAGUGAACUUUUCUUGGCUUUCUGGGCAUGGGUAGUAACUUGUGGGUUCCUGUUUGGCAUAAAAAUGGCUAGAACAUGUGGCACUAUCUUGUUGGAUGAUGUGUCAAGCAUGUGGCAGCCAUCUAGUGGCGAUUAUGUCAAUUUUGGGAUGGAGAGUUGGCAUCCAAUUGCAAAGAAAUAUGACGUCUACCAACAUGCAAUGUAAACCUAUGUAGAUCAUAUGAAGAUAGAGAGGAAAAAUAUAGAAAUGGAUAUAUACCUAGAACUAGCUUUUUAUUAAAUGAAACGGAGAGACAACAAUGAAGGAAAAUAAAAUUUUUUGGCUUAUAUCAAAGAGUUCACAUUGUGUUACCCUAGGUUUUCUUAAAACUUACUUUUAUGAUAACAAAAAAGAAAAAACCAUUAUUGUUUAAUCCUUUGUUUUAAACGCAUGUAAGGUGUAAUUAAGUUAGUUCAAUGCAUUAAUUUAAGAAACUUGACCUAUCAAAAGUACAAAAUUAGAUGAAAUCCAUUUCAAUGGUUAAAAUGAUCAAAAUCAAACUUUUUCUAAGUAUUUUUUAAAAGCAUCAAUAGUGAAAGACAAUUUUAUAUUUAGUCGGAGUUUGGACAAAACUGAAAAACACACAAAAUCCAAGCGACCAUCUCUAGCUUGGAUGGUCGCUUGAUCCCACCUAGAGAUGUGCAUGAGUAAAAGGAUUUGAAAAUGGAAAUUGACUAUGUAGUCGAUCAAUUAACUUUGCAACAUCAUAUGCAAUCCUAAUUGCUAGUCAUCUAAUCAAUUAGGUAGUCAAUCAACAGGCCAAAAAUAUGUUUAUAAUGACUAUUUUGUACAAAAACCACCUGUAUAGUUAAAUAUAAUGCAUUUCAUUUAUAAAUCUUCUAAUUCUUGAAUAACGAUCCUAUCAUCCUUUGAAAGUUUUUAUUACACUUUUUUUACUUUUGUUCUAAAACUUACACAUCACCCUUAAUUGUACCAUGAGAACCUAGCUAUUUUUUAUUUUUUUUUUUGUAAUUCAUCAAAGUUAGCUUUUGUAUUCAUUGUUGUAUUAUUUUUAGUAUAACUUAGAAAGCUAGUGUUUUCAAGUGAGUAAAAUUAACUUGUAAAUAUUGUAAAGAUUCAUCGACAUGUAUCUUAAACUAAGUGUACAAGUUAAAACAUUUGCUAGUAGAUUUUCUCAAAAUUUAGAAUAGAGCUUGAGACUAUUGAAAUAGGUGGGGUUGCACCAAACCACAUCACAUCGUUGUUUGCACCUUUUUUCACUCUCUUUUACUUAGUUGCUCUAUAUUUGUUGUCUAGUAAUAUCCUAUAGGCUUGAUGGGUUAGGGAGCAUCCCUUUGUGAAAAAAUUUUAUUCAAUCCUUAGUUGUAUCACGCAUAUAUAAAAUGCCUCAUUGUUUUAAUGGUAUUCAGUCGUGGCAUCACAGAUAUGGGCAUCUAAAUUUUAAAAGUUUGAAACUUUUAUCUAAAGAAAAUAUGGUGCUUUGCCUUUUUGUAAAGCAUGUUGAUGAAAUCCAUGAGAAUUGUGUACUUGGGAAGCAACACCGAGAUGACUUUUUUUUUUUUUUUAUAAUAUUGUUUGUCCAAAUUCCCUACAAAUUAGGCCACCAGAUGUUCAUAAUUCUCCCUUCUUGAAUUUGAAAACUCGGACAAUUGGACAAUGCGACACCUAAGUCCGGUUUCUAAAUGCUAAAGUGAAAGGGUAGGUAUGGACCAUUGAAAUGUGAUCACAACUUUUCUCUGUAGCCAUGUUGUCUCUUUUUUCUUUUGCAUGAUUUUCUUACCUUAACAGAAUCAUAGACUUGUUUAGUCUCUAAAUGGGAUUAAUUUCAUCCAGCUUUAAGCUACUAUAUUAUAUCUAGGUGGAGGACUUUUAAGAGUGCAACCGACAUAGAGCACAUGGAAGUGGGUAUAUGGGACAUGAAAUUUCUUCUUAUAAAGAUUGCAUGAUUUUUAUAUUAGAGUUGUUGAGGCGCUAUGUAUUUAGCUUGUUUUGCAGUUAAAUUAAUUGGAUAAGUAGACAUUGGCGUUUCUAAAUCUACUGUGAAGUGCUUCAUGUACGUGUGAAGUAUUAGAAAUUUCUUUCUUGGCAACUUGUUUUUCUUUGCGGUCUACUGAUAGGUUUGACUAAAAUUAUAUUCCCUGUCAUGCUAAUUAAUUUUCACGUGCAUGCUCAAAAGAAAAGUAUGACCUUAGUGCACCAAAAUCACUUUGAUUAAUUUGUGAUAGGUUUUUGUGCAUCAUGACAUUAGCCUUAUUCAUUUAGAUAAUGUUUAGUUUUUAGAAAGUAUUAAGAAAAGGAAAAUAAAUAUUAAGAAAAAUAUUCUUAUAUUUGAUUGUAUUAUGAAAAAUAUCAUAAAAAAAUCAAAUAUAAUUUAAAUUAAUUAAUAAUUUAUACAUUUUCAAAUUAUUUAAUCUUUAUAUUGAAGAUAUAAUAUAAAUGAAAUGAGUUUUAAGUAUUAUAUAAAAGUGAUUUAUUGAUCUUACAUAUAUAUAUUUCUUUUUUUUUUCCUUCUAUUUUUUCUCUUUAUUUUAUUUUCCUUAUGUUUUCCUCAACAUUUUCCGGAACCAAACAUAGCCUUAGGAAAUCCACAAUUACCUUCAACUGAGUAGAUUCUGUUGUUUUAGCAAUGUUAGGCUGCUAACUUGUGUUGGUACGAACCUAUUAAGCCUAAAGAUGUAAUUAGUUAGGAUAUUCUUUUCCCUCUAGUCUUGUAGCUCCACGUGUACAGUUGGUUAGGACCUCAUUGUAUAUAAUGCUUGCCCUGUUAUUGUAGAAGACAACAAAGAUAAAUAAUAUUAACAUUUUUCCUCUCAUCUCUCUCUGUUUCCCUCUGUUUUCAUCUCCUCUCUCAUCUUGGUAUCAGAGCCUCCAUGGCUUCUUUCAAAGAAACCUCCGAAUCACCUUCUGCUAGCAUUGUUAAUGUGCAAAACCCAUUAUCUCAAUCAAACAACCUUCCUUCACCAGUAGCCACACCCUCUUUUUCUUUCUCGUCUAUGAAUCAACCUCUCACAGUGAAGCUGGAUAAUGGGAACUACCUCAUAUGGAAGAAUUAGCUUCUAAAUGUCAUCAUUGCUAACGGACUCGAUGAUUUCAUUGACGGAUCUCGACCCUGCCCUCCUCGAUUUCUCGAUCUGCAACAACAAACCCUCAAUCCAGAGUACUCAGCUUGGCAGAGAUACAAUCGACUUCUGAUGAGUUGGCUGUACGCAUCCUUGUCCAAAGAUAUAAUGGCUCAGAUUGUUGGGUAUUCAACAGCUAUGGAGAUUUGGAAUGCCCUUAAUCAGAUUUACUCUGCCUCUUCUAUGGCGCGGUUUACUGAGCUUCGCACCAAGCUUCAAACGCUCAAGAAAGAUGGACUCUCAGUUGGUGAAUAUAUUCAAAGGCUCAAAUCCAUUUGCAAUAGUCUUGCAGCAAUAGGAGAACCAGUUUCUGAGAAAGACCAUCUUAUCUAUUUGUUCAAUGGAUUAGAUUGUGAGUAUUAUUCUUUUGUUACCUCCAUUCAAAAUCGAUCUGACCAACCAACUAUUGACAAAAUCCAUAGCCUAUUGCUUAGCUAUGACUUCCGGCUUGAACAACAAAACUCUGUUUCUCUCCAUUCUGCCCAAGUCCAUAUGGCUCAUCUGAACAAGAAACCUUAUAAAUCAACUCCUCAACCUACAUUCAAUCAUAUUCACAUUCAACCUAGAUACUCUUCUCCACCUUUUAAGCCAACCACUAGUCAAUAUCAACCCAACAUUUUGGGCAAACCACAACCACAACCAUGACAGCCUCAACCUCAAUGGAAACCACAUUUUUCAAUCUAAAAUCAAAAGCCUCAGCGCCAAAUUUGUGGUAAAUUUGGACACACUGCUCUUAUUUGCUUCCAUCACACAAAUUUGAACUAUUCACCCCAACCUUCUCCUAAAUCUUUCAAUACUGUUCUCACCACAAAUUCCCAGCUCCCUAAUCCUCCAAAAUUUUCUUACCCUACAAUGGCUCAUCCUGCUGCUACGCAUAACACGGUUCCCGAUACAAAUUGGUACAUGGACUCAGGUGCUACACAUCACUUUACUCUGGACAUCAACGUGCUUGACACUGUGACACCAUUUAGUGGUUCAGAACAGGUGACAGUUGGGAAUGGUAAGCAACUCUGUAUCUCACAUCUUGGUACUGCAAAACUACCAUCUUCGUAUUCUCCUCCUGUUCUACAUCAGGUAUAUCACACUCCAAAAAUUUCAAAUAAUCUUAUUAGUGUUAAAAAAUUGUGUUCUGAUAAUAAAGUUUUUGUUGAAUUUUAUGCCACUCAUUUUCUUGUCAAGGAUCAGGUUUCGAAGAGAGUUCUCCUUUAGGGUCAACUUGAUAAUGGCUUAUACAAAGUUCAGUCGUCAUGCUCUCCUUCUGCUGUUUCCUUUCCUCCUCAAGUUUUCAUAGCCAACAUCAAGUAUCCAAAUCUGUGGCACAAGAGACUAGGCCACCCAGCUUUAUCUGUUGUUAAUCAAAUCUUGGAUUCUUGUAACAUUGCUCGAACACAGAAAAUUUGUUUUAAUUUUUUAAAUUCUUGUCAAUUAGCAAAGAGCCACAGGCUUCCUUUUUCUCUGUCUCCAUCCAUUGCAGAAAAACCUUUUGAGUUAAUUCAUACAGACCUAUGGGGUCUUUCGCUCGUUCGCUCUAUUUCUGGUGCUCUUUAUUUUUUACUUUUCAUUGAUGAUCAUACUCGUUUUACUUGGUUUUAUUUGCUCAAAACAAAAGAUGAAGCAUAUCCUACUUUUCUCAAGUUUCAAGCUCUCAUUGAAAAUCAAUUUAAUACCAAGAUUAAGGCUGUCCAAUCUGAUUGGGGAGGUGAGUUUCGAUCUCUCUCCAUACCGUUUUCAAAUAUGGGCAUUGUCUAUUGUUUAUCGUGUCCAUACACCUCACAACAGAAUGGGCGAGUUGAGCGAAAAAAUCGCCAUGCGAUUGUCCUUUCUUGCUUGCUCUAUGCCCUUAUCUUAUUGGCCUUAUGCCUUUCAAACUGCCACUUACCUUAUUAAUCGUCUCUCUACCCCUGUGCUGCAUCAUCAAUCCUCUUACUUCGCACUCUAUCACAAACUCCCAACUUAUACUCAUCUUAAGGUCUUUGGUUCCUCUUGUUUUCCGUAUUUGCACCCUUAUAAUACCCAUAAACUCCAAUACAGGUCACUAGAGUGUGCUUUUCUUGGUUACAGUUCACACCACAAAGGUUAUCUAUGUCUUGACAUUCAUUCUAGCAGGGUGUAUAUUUCUCGCCAUGUGAUUUUUAAUGAAGAUUCUUUUCCAUUCAAGAAUUUGAAAUCUUCUCUCUCUCAGUCUAUUUCUUCUUCCUCUUCUUUAUAAGUUCCUCUGUUCAUUCUCUUGCCUCCCCUUUCCCCAUCUCCUCUUAUUUCUUCAUCUAUACCUCAUUCUUUUCCCUCUUCUUCUUCUACCUCUAGUACUUGUUCCCCUCUCGUUGCUCCUACCUCUCUUCCUUCCUCUUCACACUCUGUGUCUCCAUCUAUUCCACCUCCUUCUCCACCUUCUCCGAGUGUGGACCUGCUUGCACCUUGUGUGAAUACAAAUUUACAUACUUCUUCUCGCACUCACAAUAUUCAUCCUAUGGUGACUAGAUCUAAGGUUUGUAUCUAUAAACCUAAGUUGUUGUUGAGUGUCUCCAUAGGUUCUCUCACUAAGCCUACUUCCUUUCUUCAAGCUAUUAAAGAUCCUUCAUGGAAGCAAUCCAUGGAAUUCGAGUUUGCUACCCUUCAACACAACAAGACCUGGCAUUUGGUUCCUUCACCUUCCUCAGGCGAAGUAAUCGGUUGUAAAUGGGUCUAUAAGCUAAAGCUUCAGCCUGAUGGCUAAAUUGAGAGAUACAGCCUGCUUAGUAGCUAAGGGUAUCAUCAAAUUGAAGUAUGGACUACUUCGAAACAUUCAGCCUGAUNNNNNNNNNNNNNNNNNNNNNNNNNNNNNNNNNNNNNNNNNNNNNNNNNNNNNNNNNNNNNNNNNNNNNNNNNNNNNNNNNNNNNNNNNNNNNNNNNNNNAGCUUCAGCCUGAUGGCUAAAUUGAGAGAUACAAGGCCUGCUUAGUAGCUAAGGGUUAUCAUCAAAUUGAAGGUAUUGACUACUUCGAAACAUUCAGCCUGAUUGUCAAGCUUUCUACUAUCUGUAUUGUGCUCAGUCUUACUUUUUCCCAGAAUUGGUGUAUUAGACAGCUGGAUGUUCAUAAUGCCUUCUUACAUGGUGACUUAGCUAAAGACGUUUUCAUGGAACAACUGCCUGGAUUUGUUGAUCCUCUCUAUCCUACUCAUGUCUGCAAGUUGGAUAAGUCUCUCUACUGUCUUAAAUAGUCACCUCGGGCUUGGUAUACUAAGCUGAGUACUUCUCGCUACACUUGGGAUUUGUUACUUCUAAGAAUGACUCUUCCUUAUUUAUUUGUCAUUCGUCUCAUGGGUUACUUCUUGUUCUUGUCUAUGUGGAUGAUAUAAUCGUCAUUGGGAGCCACUCUCCUCAGGUUACUCACCUUAUCCAACAGUUGCAUCAUUAGCUUUCUUUAAAGGAUCUUGGUCCUUUACAUUAUUUUCUGGGCUUGGAGGUUCAUCACACCCCUACUGGUAUUCACCUCAGCCAAGCAAAGUAUAUCACUGAUCUCCUUACCCGGGCGGCUAUGUUGGAUGCCAAGCCAUGUCCCACUCCUAUGUCCUCCAACACAUAUCUCUCUUUUCAUGAUGGAGUGGCUCUUGAAAAUGGUUCAGAUUAUCGAAGUUUUGUUGGUGCCCUUUAGUAUUGUACCAUGACACGCCCAGAUAUAGCUUUUGCAAUAAAUAAAGUGUGUCAAUUCAUGCACCAUCCCUCUAAUGUUCACUGGCAGGCUAUAAAACGUAUUCUCCGGUACUUAAAGGGCACAUCUCAUUUUGGUCUCUUCCUACAGCCUUCCUAUGACUUCAACAUCACUUGCUAUACAAAUGCCGACUGGGCUUCCUGUCCUGAUGACAAGUGUAGCACCAGUGGCUACUGCCUCUUUCUUGCCUCUAAUCUGGUUUCUUGGUCAUCUUCCAAACAAAAAGUGGUCUCCCGCUCCAGCGCCGAAUCAGAGUACCGAGGGGUAGCAAAUGGGGCUGCUGAAAUUGCUUGGACUGAAUCUCUUCUUUGUGAACUUUCCAUUACUCCCCCUCCCCUCAUUCUCUGUGACAAUAUCAGUGCCACGUACUUAGCUGCCAAUCCUAUUUUGCAUGCCCGCACCAAACAUGUGGAAAUCGACUAUCACUUUGUCACGGAACGUGUUCUUCAAUGCUCUCUUUUUGUCCAGUUUACACCUUCUGAUGAUCAACUUGCUGAUUGCAUGACCAAGCCUCUCUCCACCCAACGUUUCAUCACUCUACGCUCCAAGCUCACUGUUCUCACUAGACCAAUGAGCUUGAGGGGGGAUGUUAAGCCUAAAGAUGUAAUUAGUUAGGAUAUUCUUUUCCCUCUAGUCUUGUAGCUCCACGUGUACAGUUGGUUAGGACCUCAUUGUAUAUAAUGCCUGCCCUGUUAUUGUAGAAGACAACAGAGAUAAAUAAUAUUAACAUUUUUCCUCUCAUCUCUCUCUCUGUUUCCCUCUGUUUUCAUCUCCUCUCUCAUCUGAACCAAAUGAUCCAUGUUAACCUUGGCUUGGUUUGAUUUGGCUCUAUCUUAGAGAGCUCAAGGAUCACGUCAACUCUGGUUUCUACUAUUCAGGUCCAUUCCCAUAUGAACUGGUUCAAAUUUGAGAAAAUGGUAACAGACCUUUAGUGAUGUUGGUUUGGAGCCAGUUGCCAAACCCGCCCUGAGCUUUACCACUAAUGUCAAGGGAGAAAGCCAUUUGAACAAAAACAAUAGCUUCAAGGGACUGAAUCGUGGAUGAAAUCUGAUCCACAUUUCUUCUCAUUUUGGAAACAAAUGAGAACUUAACUAAGAAGAUUCUACGGCCUCAUAGUGCUUUUCCUGAUCUAAGGUUGGUUCGUUUCCCAAACUGUGAGAUGCACGUGCCAGACUUCAGAACUCUCACGCUCAGGAGUGUAUCCACGUGGUGGACAUAAGAUGGUGGCUUAAGAUCUGGUGUCGGUGGCUUUACUUUACUAGGAGAGUAGUGUGUCUUCAUCUCAUUCACUGCCGGAGGGUGGCGUAAGCAGUGACGCUAAGGUGGGGCACAGUCAAUAUCAUUUGCAUUUGACCAUUAUAGUUUUCUCCCGGCUUUAAAGUAACCUUAUCGUGAUAAAGGAUUACUAGCACUAGUUCAGAUGAUAGUCAUGUUAAAUUCGGACCAUGUUUGUGUCACAUUAUCAGCAACCAUGUGUUUAUGGUUCAUGCUUUCUGCAACUAAAAUUGAUAUAUAACCAGGUGAACUUCAAUCUAAAUUCUGAAAGUACUCAUGUGAUAGAUGGUGCCCGUCUGCAGAGUCCAUCAAUUGAAAAAUGGAGUGAGUGUAUCUAUAAGAGGGAAGGCUUGGAAAAUGUUCAGUUUUCUGGGAAUUCAACAAGGAUCUAAAAUAGAUUGUUUUCUUUGCUGAUUUCAAUGGUUGAAAUUUGAGAAGAUUGUGUCCACAUAACACAACUAUUACUGGUCCUUCUGUUGCAAUUUAUCCUCUAAAGCUCUAGCAUGUCUUCCAAUUCCCACUUCCCUGUUACUCCAGGAAAGCUAUUUCUGUCAUUGUGAAGAAGAAAAGAGAAUGUACAUAUCGAUGCUUUUAAGUGACUGGAGCAUUUAUAUCAGGUGGUCUGCAGCCAUAUAUGCCACUUUGUGAAGAUUGGAACAGUCAAUCACUAGGCUAUAUAUUAGUGUGGCCCAGCCACUUUAAUCAAGGACAAGUCUUCAUACUUAAAGUCAAAUUCUGCCUUUAGUCUCAUUAUAAAUUUCUGUUUAAAUAUUAAGCAAACAUUUGUUUAAUGCGAUUAAGACAGUACUAACUCAAUACCUGUUCUAUUUUUGGAUGCAAAUGCUUGAUGGUUUCAUCAUUGGAUGGGAUAAAGGUGCAUUCAUGAUUAGGAAUACUAGUAGUUAUAUUUUAAUUCUCUUUUUUCUCAAUGAGACUUGUUGGCACAAUUUUGCUGUUGAGAAACCUACCUCUCCAUGGAAAAUAAGUUGUGAUUGAUAGUACUGGAUAUAUUCAAGAAAUCUAAAUAUAGAUAGCACAAAAUAUUAUCGACAUAAAUAGCAUUAACAGCGUACGUAUGUCUCAGUGCUCAUCAGCUAUAAGCAUGGGGCAAACACUUACUAUGAGCAACUUACGUCAAAAUUCCAGAAUAGGACAUAGAAGUGACAGAUAUAGAACAUUGCAUAUGAGUCACAAGAAAGGAAAUUACGGGUGCAUAGCAGCUCUUAUUUUACAUACUACUACUCAUACUGAUCAAAGUCACUCAGUUGGGAUGGGUGGGAGUAGGAGGUUUGUGGGGUGGCUUGUGCGGAGGAGUUGGCAGCUUCUUUCCAGGACCUGGUUGCUUCUCUGCUGGAGUUGAAGGAGGCUUAAUCUUCCGAGGUGGCUUGUAUGAGUCUUCAGCAUUCUCAGCUGGAGGGUGACCAGGGUUGUGACCAUAAUGUGGUGGCUUCUCUCCCUUAGGUGGUUUGCCAACUGGGGUUGGUGGCUUGUAUGAGUCUUCAGCAUUCUCAGCAGGAGGGUGACCAGGGUUGUGACCAUAAUGUGGUGGCUUCUCUCCCUUAGGUGGUUUGCCAACUGGGGUUGGUGGCUUGUGUUCUGGGAGUGGCUUCUCCCCCUUGGGAGGUUUUUCCAAUGGGGUUGGUUUGUGUUCAGGAGGUGGCUUCUCCACUGGAGGCUUGUGUUCAGGAGGUGGCUUCUCCACCGGAGGCUUGUGUUCAGGUGGUGGCUUCUCCACCGGAGGCUUAUGCUCUGGUGGUGGCUUCUCGAAUGGGGGAUGCUUAGGAUAAUCAGCAAGUGAGGGGGCGGUGAGAACCACCAGGCCAAGCAACACCACUAGCAAAUAUGUAGGAGACAUCUUUGGGUUUGGGCUCAGAUGGUGCAAAACUAGGAGAAUUGGCUAGCCUUUUAUAGCGGAUCGUACCCAAUAAUGAAAUGACACGUGUCAUUAUGACCCAUGUGUAAUGGGGUCGAUUUGGGUCCUACAGUGUUGAAAACUUCGACAUCCACUUUUGGCCUUUUGCUUUCUCUACAGCCGCCUUGCUUUUUCCCUCUUUCCUUUUGUUUUCCUCCUGCCCCAUUCUAUCAACUAAACACAAUUAUGUAGUUGUUUAAUUCUUAAAUGAGAUAUUAUCCGUCAAUCGUAUUAUAUUUUAUCAAGAGAGAACGGAGUGCAAUGUGGCUGUAAUUUUAUCGUUUAGUUUUAUCUCUUGGACCACUGCAUUUUUGUUAAGAGGUGCAAUAAUACACGUCUUUAUCUGCCAUUCAAUAUUUACAGUAAAGAGAGGGCACAAAACUCUUCACUUCGCACCAUAAUUAUUUUGUUUUCUGGACACCCCGGGGCCCUUUGGUUGGUUUGGGGGUCAGAAAGUGAACAUCAUAGGGGGUUUUUCCCUUAUGUGCAUUUGUAUCUGAUGGCUUUAACUCGCCUUGUUACUACAAAGAAACUGUCACAGAUAGGAACUUAUUCCAGGCUGAGUAUCUCCUCAUAGACCCUAUAAAAGAAGACAAGUCAUAAUGAACAUCUAACCUUUGUUCAAUUUGAUUCAAUGCCCCCAUUGUGUCCAUCUCACAAAUCUGAAUUAUUAUAUCCAUUGAAUACAUAAAUUAAUGAAGAAAAUAUGAAACCCAAGAUACAUCUCUGCACAACCUCAACCCUGGUUGCUAUGUUUCCCUUCUAUUCACAUGAUUUGAUGCUAAUUGCCAAACUUGCAACAAGCCCUGAGUUUGACACCUAGUAUCGAUGGGCGAAUUUAAAGUCUCCUCCAAACAUAUAUUCCACAGCUUGAAGCUCACAGAAGAUGUUACAGGCAGGGAAAAACCUUCAGAGUUCGCUACCAAAGAUAAUUAUUAAGGAGAUAUCACAAAGAGAAUUCCAAGGGGUCUGAAUCAAAGACAAAUUGGUCGUUCGUGGGGGUUCUUACUUUCUUUUGGGUAUAACUCACUGAGGGCACUGUCUUUGUUAUUUGCAUUUCACAUUUAGAGUUCUGUUCUGGAAACAUAUAAAAGGAGCAUCAUUUUGUUCUUGGGUAACCCAUAGUCGUGAGUGGGUCCAUUUGCAUGCUACUUAGUUGAAAAGUUGGACCAUUUGCUCCGACGCCUACCUCCCGGAUUCCAUGCUCGGAUAAAACAAGAAUAAAAAAAAUAUUUAUAAUUUACAAAUGGGGGAAAGAAAAAAAUGUCAACAACAAACCAGGAAAAAAGAGUAGUAAAAUUCAUGUCACAUGCUAGUGAGAGAAGGGGUUGUUACACUCACUCGAAGUUCUUUCCAAAAUAUCGCAUGGUAUUUUAUUUUAUGUGUCAGCGCAGUUGUGAAUGGAACGUGCAAAAGUCCAAAUUGGCGUUUUUCCUUUUCCCGUGUAGGAUGGCGACCUUUAAUAAAUAUUUAAAACAAAAAACGAAAAAAAGGAGGGAAAAGGGAUCAGAAAAGAUAAAACAAUGUGUACAAGAGCUCAAUUAGUUUGCAAAUUACUGUUUGGAUUUUGAUAGUAUUUUAUUUGUCCAUCUAUAUUUGAUGGAAAAGAGAAUUUAAGAUAUUUCUGAAACAAAAGCAUUAGUGUAAAACUAAAUUAAGGUAUAAUUAAGUUAGUUCAAUGCAUUAAUUUAAGAAACUUGAUCUAUCCAAAGUACAAAAUUAGAUGAAAUCCAUUUCAAUGGUUAAAAUGAUCAAAAUCAAACUUUUUCUAAGUAUUUUUUAAAAGCAUCAAUAUUAAAAGACAAUUUUAUAUUUAGUCGGAGUUUGGACAAAACCAAAAAGCACACAAAAUCCAAGCGACCAUCUCUAGCUUGGAUAGUCACUUGAUCCCACCUAGAGAUGUGCAUGAGUAAAAGGAUUUGAAAAUGGAAAUUGACUAAAUAUUUAGUUGAUCAAUUAAAUUUGCAAUGUCAUAUGCAAUCCUAAUAGCUAGUCAUCUAAUCAAUUAGGUAGUCAAUCAAGUGUUUGUAAUGACUAUUUUGUACAAAAAACCACAUGUAUAGUUAAAUAUAAUGCAUUUCAUUUAUAAAUCUUCUAAUUCUUGAAUAACGAUCCUAUCAUCCUUUGAAAAUUUUUAUUACACCUUUUUUACUUUUGUUCUAAAACUUACAUAUCACCCUUAAUUGUACCAUGAGAACCUAGCUAUUUUUUUUUUUUUUGUAAUUCAUCAAAGUUAGCUUUUGUAUUCAUUGUUGUAUUAUUUUUAGUAUAACUUAGAAAGCUAGUGUUUUCAAGUGAGUAAAAUUAACUUGUAAAUAUUGUAAAGAUUCAUUGAUAUGUAUCUUAAACUAAGUGUACAAAUUAAAACAUUUGCUAGUAGAUUUUCUCAAAAUUUAGAAUAGAGCUUGAGGCUAUUGAAAUAGGUGGGGUUACACCAAACCACAUCACAUCGUUGUUUGCACCUUUUUUCACUCUCUUUUACUUAGUUUCUCUAUAUUUGUUGUCUAGUAAUAUCCUAUAGGCUUGAUGGGUUAGGGAGCAUCCCUUUGUGAAAAAAUUUCAUUCAAUUCUUAGUUGUAUUACGCAUAUAUAAAAUGCCUCAUUGUUUUAAUGGUAUUCAGUCGUGGCAUCACAGAUAUGGGCAUCUAAAUUUUAAAAGUUUGAAACUUUUGUAAAGCAUGUUGAUAAAAUCCAUGAGAGUUGUGUACUUGGGAAGCAACAUCGAGGUGACUUUAUUUUUUUUUCCUUUUAUAAUGCCACACCUAAGUCCGGUUUCUAAAUGCUAAAGUGAAAGGGUAGGUAUGGACCAUUGAAAUGUGAUCACAACUUUUGGCCUUUUCCUUUCUCUGCAGCCAUGUUGUCUCUUUUUUCUUUUGCAUGAUUUUCUUACCAAAACAGAAUCAUAGACUUGUUUAGUCUCUAAGCUACUAUAUUAUAUCUCGGUGGACUUUUAAGAGUGCAACCGACAUAGAGCACAUGCAAGUGGGCAUAUGGGACAUGAAAUUUCUUCUUACAAAGAUUGCAUGAUUUUUAUAUUAGAGUUGUUCACGUGCAAUGUAUUUAGCUUGUUUUGCAGUUAAAUUAAUUGGAUAAGUAAACAUUGGCAUUUCUAAAUCGACUGUGAAGUGCUUCAUGUACGUGUAAAGUAUUAGAAAUUUCUUUCUUGGCAACUUGUUUUUUCCUUGCCAUCUACUGGUAGGUUUGACUAAAAUUAUAUUCCCUGUCAUGCUAAUUAAUUUUCAUGUGCAUGCUCAAAAGAAGAGUAUGACCUUAGUGCACCAAAAUCACUUUGAUUAAUUUGUGAUAGGUUUUUUUGCAUCAUUUAGAUAAUGUUUAGUUCUAAGAAAAAUUUAUAUAAAAAUGGUUUAUUUAUCUUACAUAUAUAUAUAUAUAUAUAUAUUUUUUUUUUUUUCAUUUUUUUUUCUUCUAUUUUAUUUAUUUAUUUUAUUUUCCUUAUGUUUUCCUCACAUUUUCCGGAACUAAACAUAGUCUUACGAAAUCAACAAUUGCCUUCAACUGAGUAGAUUCUGUUGUUUUAGCAAUGUUAGGCUGCUAACUUGUGGUGGUACGAACCAAAUGACCCAUGUUAAUCUUGGCUUGGUUUGAUUUGGCUCUAUCUCAGAGAGCUAAAGGAUCACGUCAACUCUGGUUUCUACUAUUCAGGUCCAUUCCCAGAUGAACUGGUUCAAAUUUGAGAAAAUGGUAACAGACCUUUAGUGAUGUUGGUUUGGAGCCAGUUGCCAAACCCGCCCUGAGCUUUACCACUAAUGUCAAGGGAGAAAGCCAUUUGAACAAAAACAAUAGCUUCAAGAGACUGAAUCGUGGAUGAAAUCUGAUCCACAUUUCUUCUCAUUUUGGGAAAAAAUGAGAACUUAACUACAAAGAUUCUACUGCCUCAUUCAUAGUGCUUUUCCUGAUCCAAGGUUGGUUCGUUUCCCAAAUUGUGAGGUGCACGUGCCACUCUCACGCUCAGGAGUGUAUCCACGUGGUGGACAUCAGAUGGUGGCUUAAUAUCUGGUGUCGGUGGCUUUACUUUACUAGGAGAGUAGUGUGUCUUCAUCUCAUUCACUGCCGGAGGGUGGCGUAAGCAGUGACGCUAAGGUGGGGCACAGUCAAUAUCAUUUGCAUUUGACCAUUAUAGUUUUCUCCCGGCUUGAAAGUAACCUUAUCGUGAUAAAGGAUUACUAGCACUAGUUCAGAUGACCGUCAUGUUAAUUCGGACCAUGUUUGUGUCACAUUAUCAGCAACCAUGUGUUUAUGGUUCAUGCUAUCUGCAACUAAACUUGAUAUAUAACCAGGUGAACUUCAAUCAAAAUUCUGGAAGUACUCUUGUGAUAGAUGGUGCCUGUCUGCAGAGUCCAUCAAUUGAAAAAUGGAGUGAGUGUAUCUAUAAGAGGGAAGGCUUGGCAAAUGUUCAGUUUUCUGGGAAUUCAACAAGGAUCUAAAAUAGAUUGUUUUCUUUGCCGACUUCAAUGGUUGAAAUUUGAGAAGAUUGUGUCCACAUAUCACAACUAUUACUGGUCCUUCUGUUGCAAUUUAUCCUGUAAGGCUCUAACAUGUCUUCCAAUUCCCACUUCCCUGUUACUCCAGGAAAGCUAUUUCUGUCAUUGUGAAGAAGAAAAGAGAAUGUACAUAUCGAUGCUUUUAAGUGACUGGAGCAUUCAUAUCAGGUGGUCUGCAGCCAUAUAUGCCACUUUGUGAAGGUUGGAACAGUCAAUCACUAGGCUAUAUAUUGGUGUGGCCCAGCCACUUCAAUCAAGGACAAGUCUUCAUACUUAAAGUCAAAUUCUGCCUUUAGUCUCAUUAUAAAUUGCUGUUUAAAUAUUAAGCAAACUUUUGUUUAAUGCGAUUAAGACAGUACUAACUCAAUACUUGUUCUAUUUUUGGAUGCAAAUGCUUGAUGGUUUCAUCAUUGGAUGGGAUAAAGGUGCAUUCAUGAUUAUGAAUACUUGUAGUUAUAUUUUCAUUCUCUUUUUUCUCAAUGAGACUUGUUGGCACAAUGUUGCUGUUCAGAAACCUACCUCUCCAUGGAAAAUAAGUUGCGAUUGAUAGUACUGGAUAUGUUCAAGAAAGCUAAAUAUAGAUAGCACAAAAUAUUAUCGAUAUAAAUAGCAUUAACAGCGUACGUAUGUCUCAAUGCUCAUCAGCUAUAAGCAUGGGACAAACACUUACUAUGAGCAACUUACGUCAAAAUUCCAGAAUAGGACAUAGAAGUGACAGAUCUAUAUAUAUAGAACACUGCAUAUGAGUCACAAGAAAGGAAAUUACGGGUGCAUAGCAGCUCUUAUUUUACAUACUACUACUCAUACUGAUCAAAGUCACUCAGUUGGGAUGGGUGGGAGUAGGAGGUUUGUGGGGUGGCUUGUGCGGAGGAGUUGGCAGCUUCUUUCCAGGACCUGGUUGCUUCUCUGCUGGAGUUGAAGGAGGCUUAAUCUUCCGAGGUGGCUUGUAUGAGUCUUCAGCAUUCUCAGCUGGAGGGUGACCAGGGUUGUGACCAUAAUGUGGUGGCUUCUCUCCCUUAGGUGGUUUGCCAACUGGGGUUGGUGGCUUGUAUGAGUCUUCAGCAUUCUCAGCAGGAGGGUGACCAGGGUUGUGACCAUAAUGUGGUGGCUUCUCUCCCUUAGGUGGUUUGCCAACUGGGGUUGGUGGCUUGUGUUCUGGGAGUGGCUUCUCCCCCUUGGGAGGUUUUUCCAAUGGGGUUGGUUUGUGUUCAGGAGGUGGCUUCUCCACUGGAGGCUUGUGUUCAGGAGGUGGCUUCUCCACCGGUGGCUUGUGUUCAGGAGGUGGCUUCUCCACCGGAGGCUUAUGCUCUGGUGGUGGCUUCUCCACCGGAGGCUUAUGCUCUGGUGGUGGCUUCUUGAAUGGGGGAUGCUGAGGGUAAUCAGCAAGUGAGGGGGCGGUGAGAACCACCAGGCCAAGCAACACCACUAGCAAAUAUGUAGGAGACAUCUUUGGGUUUGGGCUCAGAUGGUGCAAAACUAGGAGAAUUGGCUAGCCUUUUAUAGCGGAUCGUACUCAAUAAUGAAAUGACACGUGUCAUUAUGACCCAUGUGUAAUGGGGUCGAUUUGGGUCCUACAGUGUUGAAAACUUCGACAUCCAGUUUUGGCCUUUUGCUUUCUCUACAGCCGCCUUGCUUUUUCCCUCUUUCCUUUUGUUUUCCUCCUGCCCCAUUCUAUCAACUAAACACAAUUAUGUAGUUGUUUAAUUCUUAAAUGAGAUAUUAUCGGUCAAUCGUAUUAUAUUUUAUCAAGAGAGAACGGAGUGCAAUGCAGCUGUAAUUUUAUCGUUUACUUUUAUCUCUUGGACCACUGCAUUUUUGUUAAGAGGUGCAAUAAUACACGUCUUUAUCUGCCAUUCAAUGUUUACAGUAAAGAGAGGGCACAAAACUCUUCACUGCUCUGCAUGUGUCCCAAAAAUGCGAUUGGACAAAUUAUGAUUUGCAUGCUAAAAAGAGGCAAAUGAGGUUAAUUCGCACCAUAAUUAUUUGGUUUUCUGGACACCAUAAAAAGAUGUUAUACAGGCAGGGAAAAACCUUCAGAGUUAGCUACCAAAGAUAAUUAUCAAGCAGAUAUCACCAAGAGAAUUCCAUAGAGUCUGAAUCAAAGACAGAUUGCUCGCUCGUGGGGGUUCUUACUUUCUUUUGGGUAUAACUCACUGAGGUCACUGUCUUUUUUAUUUGCAUUUCACAGUUAGAGUUCUGCUCUGGAAGGUUUGUUCUGGAAACAUAUAAAAGGAGCAUCAUUUUGUUCUUGGGUAACCCAUAGUCGUGAGUGGGUCCAUUUGCAUGCUACUUAGUUGAAAAGUUGGACAAUUUGCUCCGACGCCUACCUCCUGGAUUCCAUGCUCGGUAAAACAAGAAUAAAAAAAAAUAUAUAAUUUACAAAUGGGGGAAAGAAAAAAUGUCGGAAAAAAUAGUAAAAUUCAUGUCACAUGCUAGUGAGAGAAGGGGUUGUUACACUCACUCGAAGUUCUUUUCAAAAUAUCGAAUGGUAUUUUACUUUAUGUGUCAGCGCAGUUGUGAAUGGAACGUGCAAAAGUCCAAAUUGGCGUUUUUAUUUUUCCCAUGUAGGAUGGUGACCUUUAAUAAAUAUUUAAAACAAAAGACGAAAAAAAAAAGGAGGGAAAAGGGAUCACAAAAGAUAAAAUAAUGUUUACAAAAGCUCAAUUAGUUUGCAAAUUACUGUUUGGAUUUUGAUAGUAUUUUAUUUGUCGUUCUAUAUUUGAUGUAAAAGAGAAUUUAAGAUAUUUCCGAAGCAAAAGCAUUAGUUUGCUCUGUGAUGUCCCACAUCGAAUAGGGGAGAAAGUUUCUGGCGCUAUAUAUGUAGAGGCUCCUCUUAACCAAGUAGAUGCGUUUUAAAACCAUGAGGGCCCCCUUAGGUCCAAAGCGGACAAUAUCUACAUGAUUGGGUGUAAGUCAUUACAAAUGGUAUCAGAGCCGAUCCCCGACCCCGGUGUGGGGGUUUGUUUGGCCCUGUAAGGGGUGUUUGUCUGUUUGACCCCACAAUCCCAUGGGACACAACGAGGACGUUGUGUCUGCAUGGGGGGGCGUUUGUGAUGUCCCACAUCGGAUAGGGGAGAAAGUUCCUAGUGCUAUAUAUGUAGAUGUUUCUCUUAACCAAGUAGAUGCAUUUUAAAAUUGUGAGGGCCUCUUUGGGCCCAAAGCGGACAAUAUCUACAUGGUUGAGUGUAAGUCAUUACAUGCUCCAUGUCAAUUUCAGCAUUUCUCAUAUGUUUCACACAUACACAGAAGAGCAUCGUUUUUUAAAGCAUGCAUUUAUGUUGGAUUAAUUUGGAUUUUGUGGGAACUGGGGCAAGGAUCACAUGGAAGAGAGGUUGACUUUUUUCAGUACUUCAAUGGUUGAAAUAUGUGAAGGCUUGAUUGAUACUAAAGCUUGAAAUUGCGACUCUGUCAUUUGUAAAAAAAUAUGACAGCUUCCAUGCUCUCGUUUGGUUGCAUUGUCCGGUCGAGAGGUGCAAAAAGCAUUCUCUCUCUUCUAAUAGUCUUUUCGUUUAAAUCAAGGGAUUUGCCUUCCCGGUCGAGGUCCAAUAGAGGGUAACGGUCACCUACUAAACAUUAAAUGCUCCAACAACUAGUGAACUGAUCGACCCCAGCUCGACUAGUUGAGGUUACUUUUUGGUUUUCUUGUCUCCCGAGGUUAGAAACCUAUAAAUAGAGAGCUUCACUUCAUUUAUGAGUAAGAGAACACCUAAAUUUAUUUGUUUACCUACUUGUUUUUGCCAUAAAAGCUCUCAUUUCUUUUCUUGGUGUAUUAAAUCUCCAUUUGCAUAUCCUUUAGUGCACCUUUGUGAUUCAUUCUAGCCUUGAGUUGUAUUUAAGCCUUUGUUGAGCUAGGUUGAGAGUUUCAUACUUGUUUAUUGAGUGUUAAAGCCUUCAAGUGAGUUAAAACUUGAAGAGAUUGUGUAAGAGCCCAUUGGAGUCGGAAUCCAAGUGUAAAGGUGAUUAAAAGCUUGGUUGAAGCUUCAAGUUAGUGGAACUCUCACUCGGUUAUGAGCUUGAGAAGAGUGGACAUAGACAAGGCAGUGUCGAACCACUAUAAAAUCUGAGUUUGAUUUCUCUAACCUUAUCUCUUUAUAUUUGCUUCUCUUGUGCUUAAAUUUUUUGUGUUUAAAAAGAAUUUUUAAAAACUCAAUUCACCCCCUUCUUGGGAGUUUUUCUCUUUUAAGAUCAGCUUUUAUUUUCUCAAUUGGUAUCAGAACUAUGCCUCUUGUUUAAGACUUAAUCGUCUAAGAGGAAAUGGCUAAUCCAUCAAGUUCAUCUCACAUUGAAAGUUUUGCAACCAAUAGACUUCUUUUUUUUUUUUUGCGGGAACUGAUUAUCCCUAUUGGAAAACUAAAAUGACUUGGUUUUUACAAUCAAUUGAUUUAGAUGUAUGAGAUGCCAUUGAAGAUGACCUAACUUUUCCUUCAAAACUAGUUGAUGGAGUCAUGGUUCCAAAACCUAAGCAAGAAUGGGAUGAGCGUGAUUGAAGAAAUUUUCAAUUAAAUGCUAAAGUCGUUUAUACUUUGCAAUGCUCUAUGGACAGAAAUGAAUAUAAUAGAAUAUGUCAAUGCAAAUCGGUUAAAGAAAUUUGGAGAUUGCUUGAAAUAACUCAUAAAGGAACAAAUCAAGUUAAAGAGUCAAAAAUCAAUUUACUUGUUCAUAGAUAUGAAUUGUUUUUUAUGAAAGAUAAUGAAACUAUUGUUAAGAUGAUCACUAGGUUCACCAACAUUGUUAAUGGUCUUAAAGCCUUGGGAAAGACCUACAAGGAAUCCGAAAACGUGAUGAAGAUCUUGAGGUCACUUCCAUCAAAGUGGCAUACCAAGGUCACCGCAAUUUAAGAAGCAAAAGACUUGAUCAAGCUACCUUUGGAGGAGUUCAUAGGGUCAUUGAUGACAUAUGAAAUCAAUUUGGCAAAGAAGUAACAAAAAGGUGAAGACAAAAAGAAGAAGAACAUAACUCUCAAAGCUACAACUAAGGAAGAAGAAGUUGAAGAAGAAAAACAAAUUGAAGAAGAUGAAGAUUUAGCCCUCAUCACAAGAAAGUUCAACAAAUUCAUGAGGGGUGAAAGGUUUAGAAGAAGAAGGUUCACUUCUAGAAGAGACUUUUCUAAAAAGGAAUCUUCAUCUAAUGGUGACAAAAAGAGAUGGGAAGAGAAAAGAGACUUGGUGUGUUUCAAGUGCAAGAAACCGGGACACAUUAAAUAUGAUUGUCCUCUCUACAAAAGUGAAGUCAAGAGGAAAAAGAAUAAGGCAAUGAUGGCCACUUAGAGUGAAAGUGAAGAUGAAUCAUCCGAAGAAGAAAAUGAGAAAGAAGUGGCAAACAUGUGUUUCAUGGCAAUAGAUGAACUUGAUGAGGUAAAAUCUAACCUUAGUGAUUAAGAUAUACAUGAUGCAUUUGAAGAAUUGUAUGAGGAUUUUUAAAAACUUAGUUUGAAAAAUAUUUCUCUUAAAAAGAAAGUUCAACAACUUGACAAAGAACUUAGAGAAGUAAAAGAAAAAUUUUCAAAUGUUAAAGUUUCUAAAACUCAUCUUGAAAAAGAAAAUGAGAUUCUAAGAAAGAAAAAUGAAUAGUUGAACUCCUCUCUUUCAAUCUUUUCUUCUAGACAAAAAUCUUUUGAAAUGAUUCUAACUAGCUAAAAAUGUGUUUUUGACAAACAAGGGUUAAGAUUUAAAUCUUCAAAAAAUCAAAAGUAUUUUAAAAACUAUUUUGUAAAGGAAUCCACAAGUGCAAGUCCUUCCACUACUUGCAACUUUUGUGGAAGAGAAUGGCACAUUAGUAGUACGCCCUUUAAGAAAUGGUUCUCAAAAGAAUUUAAAUGCAAAAACUAAAAAAGAUUUGGAUUGAGAAAUCCAAGGUCACUAACCCUCAAGGACCCAAAAAGAUAUAGGUACCUAAAUCAACUUGAGUUUUAUGUUGUAAGGUUCAAAGAAUGAUAAGUGGUUCUUAGAUAAUGGUUGCUCAAGACACAUGACCGGAGAUGAAUCCAAGUUUGCUUUUCUUAAAAAGAAAAAUGGAGGAUAUGUUACCUUUGGAGACAAUGCAAAAGAAAGGAUGAUUGGUCAAGGCAACAUUGGUAAUGGCACAUCCUCUCUCAUUGAAAGUGUUUUAUUAGUAGAUGGUUUCAAACAUAACCUUUUAAGCAUUAGUCAAUUUUGCGACAAAGGUUUUUAAGUGAUUUUUUAAGCAUCUCAUUGCAUCAUCAAGGAUAUUCAAAAUGAUAAAACCAUUUUCAUGGGCCAUAGAUGUGAUAAUGUUUAUGCUAUAAAUAUUUCAAAAUAUGAUGGCCAUGAUAGAUGUUUUUCAAGCAUGCAUGAUCAAAGUUGGUUGUGCCAUAGGAGAUUGAGACAUGCUAACAUAGACCUCAUUUCCCAACUCAACAAAGAUGAACUUGUUAGAGGCCUUCCCAAAAUAAUUUUUUAAAAAGAUAAAGUUUGUGAAGCUUGUCAAGUGGGAAAGUAAAUCAAAAACUCUUUUAAAAACAAAAACUUCAUUUCCACAUCUAGGCCACUUGAGUUGUUGCAUAUGGAUUUAUUUGGUCCCUCUAGGACACCAAGUCUUAGAGGAAAUUCUUAUGCAUAUGCUAUUGUGGACGACUUCUCUAGAUACACAUGAGUCUUGUUUUUUAGUCAAAAGAAUAAAGUUUUUUAUGAGUUUUCAAAGUUUUGCAAUAAGAUUCAAAAUGAAAAAGGUUUUUCAAUUACUUAUAUAAGAAGUGAUCAUGGGAGAGAAUUCGAAAAUAUUGAUUUUGAAGAGUAUUGCAAUGAGCAUGGAAUUGACCACAAUUUUUUGGCUCUUAGAACUCCUCAACAAAAUGGGGUAGUUGAAAGGAAAAAUAGAACUCUUCAAAAAAUGACAAGAACCAUACUAAAUGAAAACAACUUACCAAAAUAUUUUUAGGCCAAAACGGUUAACACUUCUUGUUAUGUUUUAAAUAGAGUAUUAUUGAGGCUCAUACUUAAGAAAACUCCCUAUGAGCUUUGGAAAAACAAAAAACCCAACAUUAGUUAUUCCAAAGUCUUUGGAUGCAAUAUUUUAUAAUAAACACCAAAGACAAUCUUGGAAAAUUUGAUGCAAAAUUGGAUGUUGGAAUUUUCCUUGGUUACUCAACUUCAAGUAAAGCUUUUCGAGUUUUAACAAAAGAACCAUGGUUGUAGAGGAGUCCAUCCAUGUUAUUUUUUAUGAAUCUCCAAGAAAGAGAGAGGAUUGAUGAUGAUUUAGGUUUGAAGACCUCUAUAGGAAGAUUGCAAAUCGAAGAUAGAAGACAACAAGAAGAAAAUGGAGAGAAUCCAAAGAAAGAAGGAUCACCAUUGGCACUACCCCCUCAUCAACAAGCGCAAGGUGAAUCAAGUCAAGAGCUUCCUAAAGAAUGGAAGUUUGUCAUCAAUCACCCACAAGAUCAAAUUAUAGGCAAUCCAUCUAGUGGGGUAAGAACUAGAUCCUCUCUUAGAAAUAUUUGCAAUAAUCUAGCUUUUAUCUCUCAAAUUGAGCCUAAAAAUAUAAAUGAUGUUUUAGAUGAUGAAAAUUGGAUAAUUGCAAUGCAAGAAGAGUUAAAUCCAUUUGAAAGAAGUGGAGUAUGGGAAUUAGUACCAAGACCUUCAAAUCAAAGUGUUAUUGGAACUAGAUGGAUCUUUAGAAAUAAAAUGGAUGAAAAUAGCAUAAUUGUUAGAAAUAAAGCAAGAUUGGUAGCCCAAGGUUUUAAUCAAGAAGAAAUGAUAGAUUAUGAAGAAACCUUUGCCCCCGUAGCUAGGUUGGAAGCCAUUAGGAUGCUACUUGCCUUUGCAUGUUUUAAAGACUUUGUUUUAUAUCAAAUGGAUGUGAAAAGUGCUUUUUUAAAUGGUUUUAUAAAUGAAGAAGUAUAUGUUGAACAACCACCCGGUUUUCAAAGUUUCAACUUUCCUAACCAUGUUUUUAAACUUAAAAAGACACUUUAUGGUUUGAAACAAGCACCUAGAUCAUGGUAUGAAAAAUUGAGUAAAUUUCUUUUGAAAAAAAUGUUUUAAAAUGGGAAAAAUUGACACAACUCUUUUUAUAAAAACCAAAGAAAAUGAUAUGCUCUUAGUUCAAAUAUAUAUUGAUGAUAUCAUUUUUGGUGCUACUAAUGUCUCUCUUUAUGAAGAAUUUUCUAAGUGCAUGCAUAGUGAGUUUGAAAUGAGCAUGAUAGGAGAACUCAACUUCUUCCUUGGACUUCAAAUCAAGCAACUAAAGGAAUGAACCUUCAUCAAUCAAGCAAAGUAUAUAAGAGAUCUUCUCAAAAGGUUCAACAUGGAAGAAGCCAAAACAAUGAAGACUCUAAUGAGCUCAUCCAUUAAGCUUGAUAAGGAUGAGAAAGGUAAAUCCAUUGACUCUAUUAUGUAUAGAGGCAUGAUAGGUUCUUUGCUCUAUUUGACCACUAGUAGACCUUACAUUAUGUAUAGUGUGUGUUUGUGUACUAGAUUUCAAUCUUGUCUUAAAAAAUCUCACUUAAGUGUCGUGAAAAGAAUCCUCAAAUAUUUGAAAGGGACAAUGGACAUAGGCUUAUGGUAUCCUAAGAGUGAUAACUUUGAAUUAAUUGGUUUUUUGGAUGCUGAUUUUGUCAGUUGUAGGGUUGAAAAAUAAAACACUAGUGGCACUUUUCAUUUCUUAAGACACUUACUUGUCUCAUGGCAUAAUAAGAAGCAAAAUUUGGUAGCUUUGUCAACAGCAGAAGCUAAAUACAUAGCAACUGGUUUAUGUUGUGCACAAAUCCUUUGGAUGAAAUAAACACUUAGUGAUUUUGAUUUAUCUUUUGAGCAUAUUCCUAUUAAAUGUGAUAAUAGUAGUGCCAUAAGUAUAUCAAAAAAUCUCGUGCAACACUCUAGGACUAAGCAUAUAGAGAUUAGACAUAAUUUUCUUAGAUAUCAUACACAAAAGGAUGAUAUAACACUUGAAUUUGUAAGCAUAAAAGACCAACUUGCCGAUAUCUUUACAAAACCUCUAAGAACAUUUUGUUGAUAUUAGAGGACAAUUAGGAGUGAUUUCUUUAUGAUCUAAUGUGAUGAAUUCUUGAUGAAUAUACUUUUUGAUUGCAUGAAUUUCAUGUCAUAUAUGCAUCAUAUAGAAAUAUACUUAGAUAAUGGUCAAAUUUCGACCAAAAAUCAAAAUUCCCAUGGCAUUAGGCAUAAAAAUUUUGGAAUUUCAACUGAAAAUGGUAGGAGGAGGAUCACAAAAUGAGAAAGUAUGCAAAAAUUGAAAAAUCAAAACGUUGACCAAGCGGUCAAUCGGACUAGACCGAUCGACUAGUUUGUCGAGAUUUAGGAUUUUUAAGAGACUCCAACGCUUCAAUUUUUGCACCGUUCUCCUCUAUUUCUUCACGGUUUCUCUGAUUUUGUCUUUUAGAGACUAAUUUGAGUGCGUUUUGGAUCAAUUGAAGCAUUUUGGAUUGGAUUUUAGGAAGAUUGAAAGUUAAGGUUUCGGAUUUGGGUCGCCUUCUCUUCCUCUCGCGUGUCACAAUCAGCUUUAGCAUUGUUCUCUUUCCAUUUUCACACACCUAGGGUUUCAGUUGUGAGCAUCUCUCUCUCUUUACCAACCACUACUCCCUUGCUUCUUCCAUAUGGCUCCUAGGCGAGAGUCCGCUACUUCUAGGGCACAAGGCAAGCACCCAACUGAGUCGUCUCAGUCAAAGGCACGUCGAAAAGUGAGAUUUGACAUUGCCUUGUUCAGUUCCAUGGAGGACUACCAACUAUACAAGCAACACUUUGCUUAGAGACGAGUAGUUCCCAAGAGAAAUAUUAAUUUUCCUCAACUUCAGCAUUUCGAAUUUAAGGGUCUAUUUACUAGGAUGGUUGGUUGUCUAUUGUCACAAUUUCGGAGCCGGUUUUCCUGACCUUAGUGCGAGUUUUUUACUCGAGGGCGACUUAUGGCAUGGGUGGCAUGAUCAUUUCUACUGUUGGAGGAGUUGAGAUCUGUCUGGACCCAGAGAGCAUCUGCCAUAUUUUCGAUAUUGCUCUGGUUGGACUCAAAGUAUACAAGUCCAAAAUGUGGCCCAUUGUGCCAGGAUUUGAGCUUAGAGAGGUCAUUCAGAGGAUUUGUGAACUUCCAGACGCCCAGGAGAUGGGCAAACCAUUGCCACACAGUUUGACGGUCAUCAACAGGGUGCUACACCAUAUAUUGUGCUCUAUCUUUCUACCACGAAGUGGACAUUGAGAUGAGGUCUCUUAUUAUGAGGCAUUCCUUAUUGACUCCAUUCUAACGGAGAGACGAAUUCAUCUACUAUGUCAUCAUUCACUAAGCCUCCUCACAGUGACAUACCACCUCAUCAGGCACCUCUUGCUCCUGACCAUGCUCCAUUGAUGGAUUUAUUUACUCAUAUUAGCUCUCUAGGCACUCGCAUGAAGGAGUUUGUUGUAGUUAGUGAUACAUGGUUCUACUCCAUAGAGGAUCGCAUGGAUCAGUAUCAGACUGGCUUCACGUCACAGUUUGAGUAUCUCCAAUAGAGGAUUGAGCAUAUUGAGGAUCACUUGAGCAUGAGAAGAUGAUGGCUUUUCUAUGCUCUGUGUUUCCACCUCCACCUCGUCAACCUUGAUUUCUUAGAGACCCAUUGUUUUCAUUUUGUAAUGUUGCCAAAAGGGGGAGAUAUUUAGGAUCUAGGACUCUAUAGGAGACUUACAUGCAUAUCAUUUUCAUAUCAUUGUUUGGAUCGUACAUAUUGGAUAGUGAUACUUUUUACUUAUAUAUGAUAUGCCUAUAUGUUUCAUGUCUUACAUUGUUUCUUAUUGCAAAUUAUCUCUAACAUGUCUUGAUUAUCUUUUUUUUAACUUCAUAAAUUUUGAUUGUUAACCCAUGAUUGGUUUGAGGGGAAGAUUCUUCUUCUCCUAGAUAACCAAGGUUUGUCAUCAUAAAAAAAUUGGAGAUUGUUAGCCCAAGGGUUCUCCUAAUCAUGUUUUGAUGAUAACAAACCAUGCUUAAGUUACUAAUUGGUUUGAAUUAUAAAGAAUUUCAAGUGUUAAUUUGAAAAUUCAUCAAAGAACCUAAUGGAUGCAAGAUCAAGAUUUUUGGAAGACCUUUAAUCAUAAGAAACAUAUGUAAGAUGAAUGCAUGGGUGCACUUAAGAUUUGCAUAUCAUUUCAUGCAUAUUUGGAAAACACGGUUUAUGCUUUAAAGUUACAUUUCCAUCAAAAUUUGAGAUCCAUCAAAUGAACCUUAGGAAAAAUGUUUUAAAAUUGGCAUAUAAUUUUACCUAAAGACCUUGCCUAAGUGUUAGAAGCAAAAGGACAAAAAAAAUAUAGGUUUUCUGGUCAAAAAUGGUGAACCAGUCAAGGCAUUGUCUAAAUCAGCUCAAUCGGCCAAGGUACCGGUCGAUCGGUUUCCCUUUCCCUGUCGAGAUCUAGUCAAGAGGUACAAAAAUCACAAUCUCUGUCUCUUUCUCUCUUUGUCUAUCUUCCAGUAGUCUUUCCUUCCCGGUCGAGGGAUUUGCCUUCCCGAUUGAGGUCCGAUUGAGAGUAAUAGUCACUUGCCAAAUAUUAAAUGCUCCAACAGUUAGUGAACUGGUCGACCCCCACCUUGCCCAGUUGAGGUUACUUUUUGGUUUUCUUGGCUCCCGAUGUUAGAAACCUAUAAAUAGAGAGUUCCACUUCAUUUAUGAGCAAGAGAACACUUGCAUUUAUUUGUUUACCUACUUGUUCUUGCCUUAAAAGCUCUCAUUUCUUUUCUUGGUGCAUUAAAUCUCCAUUUUGAUAUCCUUUAGUGCACCUUUGUGAUUCAUCUUAGCCUUGAGUUGUAUUUGAGCCCUUUUUUUAGCUAGGUUGAGAGUUUCAUACUUGUUAAUUGAGUGUUAAAGCCUUCAAGUGAGUUGAAACUUGUAGAGAUUAUGUGAGAGUCGAUUGGAGCCGAAAUCCAAGUGUAAAGGUGAUUAGAAGCUUGGUUGAAGCUUCAAGUUAGUGGAAUCCUCACUCAAUUAGGAGCUUGAGGAGAGUGGACGUAGCCAAGGAAGUGUCGAACCACUAUAAAAUUUGAGUUUGAUUUCUCUAACAUUGUCUCUUUAUAUUUGUUUAUCUUGUGCUUAAAUUUAUUGUGUUUAAAAAGAAUUUUUAAAUACCCAAUUCACCCCCCUCUUGGGUGUUUUUCUCUUUUAAAAUUAGCCUUUAUUUUCUCACAAACUAUUGUAGUAUAGUGGUUUUUAGGUGUCAUCCAUUAGGAUGAAUUGUUCUCGGUAAUUAAGGCGUGAAUGAGAGGAGAAUUAAUGAUUGUGAUUAAGUAAAAUUGAUUUGAAAAUUCAUGGUGAAAAAUCAAUUUAACAAUGGUUUCUAAUUGAGAAAAACAAUGAAAUGUGAAAUAAAAUAAAAUUAAUAGGAAAUGAAAUUCUCGAAGUUAGAAUUUUCUAAAAAACAAAUUCCAUGGUGAAUGGAUGUUGAGAUCUAAUUUUCAUCAAGUUAGAUUGAAAACCGAAAUUUUCAUAUAAACUGAUUUUUUAUUUAGUUUUAGGUCUAGAUUUAAUUUCCCUUAAAAUUAGGUUAUUUAAUCCAAGAAAUCAAUUCAAAUCAUAUAUUCAAUUCAUCUUAAAUUAUCUUCCAAUUAUUCACACAAUGCAACUAUUCAAUCUCAUCAAAUCUAGCUUUUAAGAAUUUAAUGAAUCUACCUAGUUUGCAUUGUAAUAGUCAUCCAUGACAAUUUGAAGAGAAAAAUAAUUCAAUUAAUCAAUCACUUGGAUCAAAUUACCUUUGCAAUUAAAGUUCAUUUCUCUAAUUCACCACAGAUUUUGUCUCUAGAUCCUCCUUUCUCAAAGAAAAAUGAGAUUUAGCCACACAUGAUUGGAGAUUUGGUCUCAUAAGGCAUGUUUAGCUAGUGAUAAAAUGAGAGAAAAUAAAGAAAAAUAGAGAAUUCGAUUAAGAAAGAAAAUCUAAAAAAUUCUACAAUUAGAAAUGUCCAAAAAGCUUUUUCAUGAGAAAAUCAAGUUUCUAUUUAUAGGCCAAGGUCAAGUGGACACUUGACAUCAUCUAAGAGGUCUUCCGGAAGCUUCUUCAUCAAGAAAUCUGGAGUUUAAUAAUAAAAUGGUCAUUUCACAAGAGCUCAAACAAUUUCGCAUGAUUAUGUGAAAUAAAAAAUGCAACAACAGCAAUUUACAUCUUCUUGGAGCAUUUCGCAUGACUGUGUGAAAUUUUCACAUGAUCAUGUGGAAUCGACUUGACAACUCUCAUUUAGCCUACAACAUAAUUCCACCUUUUGGUCCAUUUUUCAUAGUCAUGCGAAAUGGAAAUAUUUGAUUUUUAAGUUUUCUUUUGUCAUUUCUUUCAUUUCCUUCUCUUGAUUCCACUUCAACUACCUCCGAAUCCUGGUCCAAACCAAUUGCAUUACUUCUUUCAUUAUGCAUUUGGAUCAUCAUCAACAUUAUUUGUUCUCUUCAAUUUGAUUCAUCUCUUUUGUCACCAAUUUAUCAAAAUCAUACCUUGAAAUGACUCCAAAACUUCAUAAAACUUGUUAGUAACUCUUGCAAGGGCAACAACAUAUUAAUUAAGUGUUUUAGGCAUAGUUACUACUCAAAAGAUGCGAAACUCAUGAUAAUUAUUAUAUAAAAUAUGCUCUUUUUGAGUAGUAAUCAACUUUCUUGCAUAAGCAGACCUUUUAGGGUGGAGUACUAAAGACCAAUAUGCUUGUCCUUGUUGUAAUAAAGAAACUUGCUCUUAUUGAUUGCACCAUGGGAGAAAAUUUUGCUACAUGAGUUAUCAUCAAUUUCUUCCCACCAAUCAUAGAUUUAGACGUGACAAGAGGCCUCUUAAUGGCAAGGAGGAACUGACACUCACACUUAUACAAUUAUCGGGCAUUGAUGUGUUGCAACAAUUAGAAUAACUUACACCAAUUAUGUUGGGGAAGUCACAAAAGGCAAACAUGAAAACUAAAAGGAAAAAAGAAAAAUGUUACAUAUCACCACAACUGGAAAGAAAAAAGUAUUUACUUUCAUUUGCCAUAUUGGAAAGCACUUAUUUUACAUCAUAAUAAUUUAGACAUAAUGCAUAUUGAGAAAAAUGUGUGACAAUAUAAUUGAGACAUUGUUCAGUAUUGACGAAGAAACAAGGACAACCUAAAUAGUCAUCUCGAUUUACAAGCUCUAACUAUUAGAAAUGAGAUUCACCCAAUAGAAAGCAGGACCAAAUUUAUUUUGCUUGCAACAUGCUACUCACUCACCCCAAAUGAGAUUAAGGAAUUUUGCAAGUUUUUGAAAUCAAUAAAGGUCCCCAAUGGCUAUUCUUUCAAUAUCUCUCGUUAUGUGCAACUCAAUGAAAGGAAGAUAUAUGAGCUCAAAUUGUAUGAUUGUCAUGUCCUAAUGCAACAACUUCUCUCACUUGUAGUUCGUGGAGUUCUACAUAAGAAUGUUUGUGGAGUUAUCAUAGAAUUGCGUAAUUUUUUCAAGCAAUUGUGCUCAAAGGUGUUAGAAACAAAUCACUUACACCAACUUGAGAACAAUAUUAUUGUCAUACUAUGUAAAAUGGAGCAAAUAUUUCUUCCAUCAUUCUUUGAUAUUAUGGUGCAUUUACUUGUGCAUCUAGUAAGGCAAAGGUUGCAAGACUUGUGCAAUAUUGUUGGAUGUACCUAAUUGAACGAUAUUGUUAUAAUUUCAUAUGAAUCAUUUAAUUUUAUUUUAUAUUAUGUUCAGUUCAUUAACAUGUACAUUGGUCUACAUAUGGAUGAUGAUAGGUACCUAAGCACUUUAAAGUCAUAUGUGCGUAAUAGAACUUUUCUAGAAGGUUCUAUUGUAGAAAGGUACCUUGCAAAAGAAUGUACAACAUUUUAUUCUAGGUACUUGAAUGAUGUGGAAAUAAAGUAUAAUCACAAUGAUAGAAACUUUGUUGGUUUCAACACUAGAGGAGAUGAAAGGGGUUAUCUUUAAACAUAUUGGACAUGCAUUGGGAAAGCCCAUAUUUCAUUAACUUAGUUCAAAAGAGUGGUCACAAGCACAUUUAUAUGUGUUGACAAAUUGCGAAGAUGUCAUACCAUUCAUUGAGUAAAAAAUUUAUUUGAAUUUUAAUUAAAGCUCUAGUUUAUAUCCUUAAUCAAUGUUUUUUAAAUUCACAAGGAGCACAAGCAAACCAUCAAGGCUAGACCACAUAUACGUGUUUGAGACGUAGAUUUAAUUCAUAACAAGGAAUUUAUCAAGUGGUUUGAAAGACAUGUAAGUAUAUUCCUUAUUAUAAGGGAUUUAUUUCACAUUAUGUUUAUAUUGAAUCCAAACCUAUUAUUGAAUUGUAGGUUGAACAAUUACAUAAUGAAGGUCAUAUAUCUGAACACCUUCUCACAUUAUCAUGUGUUCCAAAUUCAUUAGUUACAUGCUUCAAAUGAUAUAUUGUCAAUGGAUUUAGAUCCCACAUUAAAGAACGUGAUAAAAAAGUUUUUAAAAAAAGACUCAGAAUAAUGGAAUUGUUGUAGUUGCAAAAACGUCAAGCUUUACAAGUGCAUGUGAUAUGAGUCCAAUUAUUAGUGAUGCUCUCUACUAUGGUGUUCUAACUAAAGUUGUUGAGUUACAUUAUCUUGGUGAAAAUAAGGUUGUUUUAUUCGAGUUUGAUUGGUGGGAUGUUACAAAUAUUGGAAAAUUGAUAAAAGAUGAUGAGUACAAUUACACAUUUGUUAACUUUGCAUGAAUUCUAACCACGAACGAACGAUUUGUACUUGCAUCUCCAGCAAAGUAAGUGUUCUAUGUGAAGAAUGCGAAUGAAUCAGAUUGGCAUACUAUCAUGGAGAUGCAACCUCAAGACCUCUAUAAGAUGAACGGGAUAGGAUCCAAUGGUGAUUUUGAACCAUUUCAACAAAGUGAACUACAUGAUCACUAAUAUAUCUCAGAUUUAGUUGAUGAAGAUAUAAUCAAGUGGAACAAAAGUGAUGUUUUAGGACUAAUCAUCCUAAAAAAUAUUGUAGUUUCUUAAAAAAAAAAUGAAAAUGAAGAAGAUAAUUGAACCUUUGUCAUACUUUAAAAAGCAACUAUGCAUUGUUCAUUUUGUAUGUUUUGGUUUUCUUCAUUUAAUUUCCUGAUUUUUGUGAUUCAAUGUCAUAUUAUUGAUCUUGAAAUAUUUUUCUAAUUUUUCAUUCUACGAUGGUUUCAACAAGGAUGACAUCAAGUCAAAAAAGGAAAUGUGGUCCCACACACAAUAUUGCAUUACAGGGAUUAAGGUCAGGGAAGAAGGUAAAAGUUGCAUUUAAUGAGUACAAUCAAUUGGUUAAACAGAAAAAUGGAAAACACUUAUCGAGCUACAUAGGGACACUUGUAUCUAACCAACACAAUGUACCUCUCCAAGCUAGUGAUUGGAAAAAUGUUCCAAAUGAUGCAAAAGAGAAAGUAUGGCCUUUGUUUUGGUAUGUUGUAUUUCUCACUAUAUGAUGUCAUUUCACUGUUAUUCUAUUUUGUGACUAACGUUUGAAUCAUAUGUAAGAAAAAUUUGAAGUAGAUAAAGACUGAAAAGAUUACAUGUUGGGUAUAGCCUCAAAUAAAUAUAGAAGCUAUAAAAAUAUGAUGAAUGCAAAAUACUAUGACCCUUGGCAUAAGGAUGCAUGAGGAGAGGUUAAUACAUAAAUCACCAUUUGUCUCUGAUGUUGAUUGGAAGUGGCUUGUCUCUGAUGCAUAAACCAAAUCCCCCACUGAAUGUUUGAUAUUUGAUAGCAGGAAAAACACACCCGCAGCUAUACACCUCCAUCAUUCAGAUAAUUAUAGUGGGGGAGAUGAUUCAUGGUUGCCCUUAUACCCUUUAUUUGCACCAUCUAUUGAGAUUCUUUAUCAUGGCCAGGUUUUACUGCAGCAAUAAGAUAUGGUGGCAACAAUUUUAUCUAUAGGUGCGGUUCCAGACCGCCUCCAUAGGUGCGGUUCCUGACUGCCUCCAUAGGUGCCUCUUCUUGUAAUGUUUGUUCUGGGAAUUACACUUGAAAGCCUUAUCGUGAUAAGGGAUUACAAACACUAGUUCAGAGGACAGCCAUGUUAAACUUCCACUAUGUUUGUGUCACAUUAUCAGCAGCCUAGUGUUUAUUGGUCAUGCUAUCUGCAACUAAUAUAACCCGGUGAACUUCAAUCUAAAUUCUGAAAGUACUCAUGUGACAGAUGGUGCCUUUCAGCAGAUAUCAUCAAUUUAAAAGUAGUGUGUGUGCCUAUAGGUGGGAAGGCCUUGGCAAAUGUUCAGUAUUCCGGUAAUUCAAGAAGGAUAUAUCUAAAAUAGAUUUUCUUCUUGCCCAUUUCAAUAGUUAAAAUUUGAGAAGAUUGUGUCCACAUCACACAAAUAUUAUUGGUCCUUCUGUUGCAAUUUACCUCUGAACAUGUCUUCCAAUUCCCACGGUCCUGUUACUCCAGGAAAACUAUUUCGGUCAUAUUGAAAAAAAAAAUAUUAAAGAAGGUACACAUGCUUUUAAGUGGACUGGGGCAUUCAUAUCAGGUGGUCUGUAUCCACAUAUGCCACUUCGUGAAAGGUGGAACAGCCUAAUCACUAGGCUAUUUAGUGUGGCCCAGCCACGUUAAUCAAGCACAAGUCUUCAUACUUAAAGUCAAAUGGUGUCUUUAGUCUCAUUACACAUCGCUAUUUGAAGAUUAACUCAUCACUAGUGUAAUGCGAUUAAGACAGUCCUAACUCAAUAUUUGUUCUAGUUUUGGAUGCAAAUGCUUGCUGGUUUCAUCAUUGGAUGGGAUAAAGGUGCAAUCAGGACUAUGAAUACGUGCAGUAAUACUUCAUUCUCUUUUUUCUCAAUGAGACUUCUUGGCACAAUUUUGCUGCUCAGCAACCUACCUUUCCAUGGAAAAUCAGUUGUGACUGAUAGUAAUGGAUAUAUUCUAGAAAGCUAAACAUAGAUAGCAUUCAAUAUUAUCGAUAUAACAUUAACAGCGUAUGUCUCAAUGCUCAUCAGCUACAAGCAAUGGACAAACACUUUGAGUAACUCACAGCAGUCAAAAUUCCUAAACAGGACAGACGUGACAGAUCUAUAUAUAGAACACUGCAUAUGAGUCACAGGAAAAGAUAAUACGGGUACAUAGAAGCUCUUAUUUUACAUAUUACUCAUACUGAUCAAAGUCGCUCAGUUGGGAUGGAUGGGAGAAGGAGGUUUGAGGGGUGGCUUGUGCGGGGAAGUUGGCAGCUUCUUUCCGGGAGCUGGUUGCUUCUUUGCUGGAGUUGAAGGAGGCUUAAUCUUCCGAGGUGGCUUGUAUGAGUCUUCAGCAUUCUCAGCAGGAGGGUGACCAGGGUUGUGACCAUAAUGUGGUGGCUUCUCUCCCUUAGGUGGUUUGCCAACUGGGGUUGGUGGCUUGUUUUCUGGGAGUGGCUUCUCUCCCUUGGGUGGUUUGCCAACUGGGGUUGGUGGCUUGUGUUCUGGGAGUGGCUUCUCCCCCUUGGGAGGUUUUUCGAAUGGGGUGGGUUUGUGUCCUGGUGGUGGCUUCUCUCCCUUGGGAGGUUUACCAAUUGGGGUCGGUGGCUUGUGUUCUGGGAGGGGCUUCUCUCCCUGGGGAGGUUUAGUGGGUGGCUUGUGUUCUGGAGGUGGCUUCUCCACCGGAGGCUUAUGCUCUGGUGGUGGCUUCUCGAAGGGGGGAUGCUCAGGGUAAUCACCAAGUGAGGGGGUGGUGAGAACCACCAUGCCAAGCAACAACACUAGCAAGUAUGUAGUAGACAUCUUUGGGUUUGGACUCAGACAGUGCAAAACUACGAGAAAUCGCUAGCCCUUUAUAGCGGCUCGGACCUAAUACUGACAUAAUAUAAAAUAAAUAUUAUAUUUUAUCAAGAGAGAACAGAGUGUAAUUUUAUCAUUAAUACCGAUCGAGGCCAAAGAAAGAAGACCCAUAAUCCAUUUCCCACAAGCAUACACAAUGCAGCUGUAAUUUUAUCAUUUACUUUUAUCCCUUGGACCACUGCAUUUUUGUUGAGAGACACAAUAACACAUUUUUAUCUGUCAUUCAACAUUUACAGUAAAGAGAGGGCACAAAACGCAAUUAGAUAAAUUAUGUUUUGCCUGCUAAAAAGAGGCAAAUAACUUUAUUUGCAACAUAAUUAUUUUGGUUUCUAGUGACCCCGGGGCCUUUCGGUUGGUUUGGGAUCGGAAAAUGAACAUCAUAGGGGGGGUUGUGCCCUUAUGGGCAUAUAUAUCUGAUAGCUUCAACUGGCCUUGUUCCUAGAAAGAAAUUGCCAAAGAUAUAAACUUAUUCCAGGCUGAAAGUAGAUGAGAGUCAUAAUGAACAUCAACCUUUGUUCAGUUUGAUUCAAUGCCCCCAUAGUGUUCAUUUCACAGAUCUGAAUGAUUAUAUCCGUUGAAUACAUAAAUUAAUGAAGACAAAUAUGAAACCCAAGAUACAUCUCUGCAUAACAACCCCAACCCUGGUUGCUAUGUUUCCCUUCUUCUAUUCACAUGAGGAUACUGGUUAUAAUUGUCAAACUUGCAACAAGCCCUUUGACACCUAACGUCAAUGGACGAAUUAAAAGUCUCCUUCAAACGUCUAUUUCACAGCAUGAAGCUUAUAAAGGAUGCUGACAACCUUCAGAGUUAGCGACAAAAGAUAAUUAUCAAGGAGAGAUAGUUCCAUGAGAAUUCCAAGGAGUCUGAAUCAAAGACAAAUUGCUCACUCAAGGGUUCUUAUUUUCUUUUAGGUACAAAUCUCUUGAGUGUUGUUAAAGAAACACGUCACUGUCAUUUUGAUUUGCAUUUAACAUUUCACUUUUGUUCUGGAAGGUUUGUUCCGGAAACAUAUCAAAUGAGCAUCAUUUUCUUCUUCGGUGACACAUGGUCGCGAGUACGUGGGUCCAUUUUCAUGCCACUUAGUUGAAAAGUUGGAAAGAAAAAACAUGCCAACAAGAAGAUAGUGAGAGAAGGGGCACUUCAAGCCUUUAACAUGAACAAACAGUAAAUAAAAGAUGUUUCUCCACUCAUAAAAGUGUGUUAGAUAGCAAUAUAACGAAUCACAUCCAAAAUCUUUACUAGGCUCAAACAUAAAGAAGACUCAUUUUUAAGAAAAGAUAAAAAUGGCAUUGUCUGAUAGUAUCCAAUACACGAGAUGGCACUUAAUUUGUACAAGAUCUGUCAAUGCUGACGCACAUUUUCUGAUUAAAAAAAAACUGAUCAGUCAAAAGCAAUGAAGAGAAGUGAUGACAAUGAAUGAUGCUUCCAAUAUUUUCACCCCUUAUAGUGUUCUUCAUGAUUCAGAUAUAUAAUUGGAAAUAGAACAACCCUAUGCCAUACAUUCGUCUAAGUAUGGUGUCUAAUUUUUUGUGUCAGCGGUUGCGAAUGGAGCGUGCAAAAGUCCAAAUUGGCGUCUCUCCAUUUCCACAUAGGAAGGUGACCUUUAUUGACAAAUACCCAAUAUUUGUAGACAUUCCUUAAAUAUCAUAACUUCUUGUUGAUUUGAAAAUCAUUUUUCAACUACCAUGUUUUAAUAAAUAUUUUUUAAAAUGUAUUUUUAUCAAAGUCCACCAUGAUGGAUAAUAUUCACCAUGCAAUAAUUAAUAAAGUACAAACUAAGCGAAAUGAAAAGCAUUUUCUUUGCUUUGAGUUGAUUUUGGUUGCAUUGAGUUGAUUUUGGUUUCAUGGUUUUUUCAACUCUUAUUUUGAUUGGAAGAUGUCAAGAAAAGAAAACAUAAAGAAAAAUUAAAAGGGAAAAAAGAAGAAAAAUAAAAAAAAAUAGAUUUAAAAGUUAAUAAAUUAUUUUUUAUAUUUAUUUUAAUUCAUUUCACUUAUUUUUCUUUUACUAUAUAAAAUUUAAAUAAUUUAAAUUUUAUAAUUAAUUUAAUUACAUUUCAUUUUCUUCUAUAUUUAAAUAUUGGAAAAAUAUUUUACUUAAUAUUUUUUUCUUUAAUUUCUUUGGCAUUUUGGGAACCAAACUUAGCCUUUAAAAUAAAAAACAAAAAAAAAAUGAAAAUAAGGAGGGAAAAGUGAGAAAAGAUAAAAACAAUAUGUAAAGGAUUUGAAAAGUAUUAGUUUGUAAUUACUAUUUGGAUUUCAAUAGUAUUUUAUUUGUCUUUCUAUAUUUCAUGUAAGAGAGAAUUUAAGAUAUUCCCCAAGGCAAAGCAUUAGUUACCUGCAAUCAGUGGUGAUAAGGCUCCAAGCCAAUUUUGGGCCCCAUAUCUUAAGACAGUACAAUUUCCAUUUCAACAUUUCUGAUUUCUCAGAUGUUUCACAUACCACAGAAGAACAUUGUUUGUGAAAAUAUGCAUUUAUGUUGGAUUUUGUAUGCUGUGGGGACUGGGGCAAGGAUCAUAUGGAAGAGUGGUUGACUUUUUCUGUACUUUAACGGUUGAAAUAGGAUAAGCACGGGCAUUUGUGAGGCUUAAUUGAUUUUGAAGCCUGAAAUUGCGUUUCUGUCAUUUUGUCAAAAAAAUGGCAGAUUCCAUACUCAUAUGUUUGGCCUGUGGCCAUGUACAGAUGCCAUUUAGUGACCAGUUUGUAACUGUCAAUCGUUGCGUUUUGACUCUGCCUCAACAACAUCUGCCAUUGACGGGUUUUCAUACUUGCAAAUCAAAUAGUCUUUCGUCCCAUCAGGAAUUUCGGUUUAAAUAUUAUUAAGCAUACGUUUGGCUGACAAUCAUUAUCCAGUUCAUGAUUUGGUUUCUUACCCUUAAUCAAUGGUUUCUAAGUGAAUAUAUGUAGAAGGAAAUCCGAAGUGUAGACAGUAGUAUCGAUAACUCUCAAUAUUCUCUAUAUAAUAGAAUAAACAGCGUCAUAGUGAUCGUCGCCUACAAGCAAGGUACAAAUACCAAAACGAGUGACUCACAUAGACAUCUCCCAACAAGAUGUAGUAGUGACUGACACAUGGACACAAUUAACUCGUAGAAAAGGAUAAGACCAUUGCACAGCAGCUCUUAUUUUACAUACUACUUAUGCUAACCAAAGUCAAUUAGUUGGGAUGGGUGGGAGAUGGAGGUUUGUGCGGUGGCUUGUGGGGCGGAGUUGAUGGCUUCUUUCCAGGAGCUUCUGGCUUUUUCAUCGGAGCUGAAGGAGGCUCAAUCUUAUGAGGCGGCUUGUAUGAGUCUUCUUUACUCUCGACAGGAGGGUGGCCAGGGUUGUGAUCAUAAUGUGGUGGCUUCUCUCCCUUAGGUGGCUUGCCAACUGGGGUUGGUGGCUUGUGUUCAGGAAGUGGUUUCUCUCCCAUGGGAGGUUUAGCAAUUGGGGUUGGUGGCUUGUGUUCUGGGAGUGGCUUCUCUCCCUUGGGAGGUUUAGUAGGUGACUUGUGUUCUGGAGGUGGCUUCUCCACCGGAGGCUUGUGCUCCGGUGGUGGCUUCUUGGUUGGAGGGGGCUUGGGGUAAUCAGCAAGAGAUGGGGUGGUGAGAACCACCAGUCCAAGGAACAACACUAGCAAGUAUGUGGGAGACAUUUUUGAGUUUGGGCUGAUCAGAUGAUGCAAAACUAAAGCAUUACGUGACCUUUUAUAGCAUGUAGCUCCCAAUACCCACUAAGUAUUGUGGGGUCCAUUUGUGCCCUACGGGGUUGAAAACUUAGACAAUUGGGCAAGGACCCACCUGACUAUGGAGGACUAGUGAGGUGUGAUCAUAGCUUUAGGAUUUUUCUUCCUCUGCAGCCGUCGUGCCGUUGGCAUGAUUUUCUUAAUCUUAAAUAAAGGCAUAGUUAUAGAGUUGUUUAAUCUCUAAAUGGGAUUUUAUAUAUAUCUUCAGAUAGCCAUUAAUAUAUUUGAUGAAGAAAGAAAGACAAGUGCAUACAACAUGUAUACGACUAGCUUUCAUGGAGUUCAUUUAUGAUCAGUUUUCCUGUACAUGUAAACCAGGAUCAUAUAUAUGUUUCUGUUCCACAACUAUUUUGGAAUCUUGUUUAUCAGUUUUUAUCAUUAUAAUGUCACAUAGGCUGCCAACUUGGGCGCUAAAAGAACCAGUUGGGCUAGUUCGUUUCAGAAUUUCAAUGUGGAUUCAGGAAUUGUUUUGUAAGAUAUGCGAAAUAGUAGAGGGAUGAAUAGUGUUUCAUUAAUAAAAGUGUCCUGUAAAUUAGAAGGUGUCAUAGAAACUAUAAUCAAUAAAUAACUUUUUUUCCCCACGGGUGGUGUUUCUUGUGGGGAUCAGUGACUGGUUUAGGUUCACCCAAAAUGAGUUCAGACUAAAAUUGGUUUGAGUCAAUGCCGUGUCUCUUUUUUCCAGAAAUCAACUAUUUUAUGCAUUGAAUAAAUCAUACAAAGAAAAUAUGAACGCCCGCAAAACCUAAACCCUGGUUGCUAACUUUCUAUGUUUCAGUUCUAUUCACGCAAGAAUAUUAGUUUAAGUUUGGGAAAAAUGGCAACUUACCUAGUGAUUACUUGGUUUUGGUUUGCGACUAUUUACGCAACCAACCAUGAGUUUGACUUUAACGUCAUGGGUUGAAGCCUCCUACAGGAAGGGAGAAAGCUCCACAGCUAGCUCCAAAAGAGAAUUAUCACAUUGAUAGCUCCAGAGAUUCCCAAGGGGACUGAAUCAAAGACAAGUUCCUCACUUUUUCUUCUUUUGAGGCCAAAUAUGAACCAAGGAUCACACAACCUCAUUCAACUUCAUAAGUUUGAUUUCAUGCAGUUGAACACUGGGUGAAGGCCAUGACAAGAAUUGAUUCAAAAAUUCUAUCACUCUUUUAAGUAAUGGAAGAUUAUUAUCUCUGAUUGGCAUCACAACAGCACAUGCUCCUAGAUCUUUCUAGACACUCCAUGCAAUGAAAGCACAAUGGAUCUUGUAACGAUAGAAACUAAGCCAUGCUACAGUACUAGAUGAUGAGGUAAAACUAGUAGACACGGGUGGCAGCCUAUAUGGGAGGGACACAAGUCUAAUUGAUUUGCAUUUCAGCAUUAUAGAUAGGUAUGUUUUGGAAGAUUUGUUCUGGAAAUACCGCACCAAGUAGGAUUCUUUUUCUCUUUAGUGGGUCCACUUGCAUGCCAAUUAACGAGUUGAAAAGUAUGAGCACCUACCUCGUGCUCGUGGAACCGAAGGUCAGUGAAGUGGGGCUCCUUUUGGCCUCGUGUAAACUUGAUUCAGAAGUGAAGUUAAUAGUCUUCCAUUCAGAUGGAUACAUGGGAAUUUUUCUCUUUUAUUUAUUUAUUUAUUUUUUUUUUGUGUGUGUAUGUCAAAGGAUAAUGAAUGAAGCGCGUUAGCUUGUUUUCUGACUGGAACCGCAGAUGUCCAAAUUGGAGUUCCUUCAUUUCUUACUUAGGAUUGUUACAUGUAUAAACAAGGUAUAAGAAAUAUGCCAACGUGUCUUGAGGAGUUAUUGAUUAGAAAUAACAAGUCACCCGACUGUAGAGUUCCAAGAUUUGAAUCUUCAGACCCUAUAGCAGCCUCUGGGGUACGUGGCAUCCUAUAGCAUAUUAAUGAAGGCUUUUUCGAUUUAGACUUCACAAUACCAAUUAAUAUGUAUGCACAAAAUGGAGAUGACCCCAAAAAAAACAGAAUCGCCAUAGUUUAUGAGGUUAAGGUGAUUCUCCACUUAAUAUCUACAUUAGCUAAUUAUGUAAAUCAAAUGAACUUCUAUUUUUCCUUUUUUUUUUUGGUUUAUGUCAAAUAGUAGCCCAUAAUUAACCCAACCAUUAGCCUGUUUGAAUUGAUUUCACAUGCACAAUGUUGUAGUAGUUCAUAUUUUGAAUUUUAUUUUUACAAAGGUAGUUAAGGAAAAUGAAGUAUAAUAAUUAUAAAAGCAGACUAUAUACACUACAAUAAUUGUUAGAAUGGUAUCUCAAAUUCUAAUUUAAAAUAUUAUUUUUUGUAAAAGAAAUAUUAUAUAGAAUAUUUCCUAAUUUUAUAAAUGAUUAUAAUUAGAUCUUUAUAAAAUAAGGAAAGUUGGUAAGAAUAUCUUUAUAAAUAUUUUAGGUCAUGAGAGAAAGAAAUGGGAUAAAAAUGUGAUGAAGAGGUGAAAUAAGAGAGUUGAUUAGGAUAUAGAUGUGAAGAAGAAAGGGAUUCAAUAUAUAUAUAUCUUUCAAUUACCACAUUAAAACCCUGUGAACCUUUUAUAUGGUUUACUUUAUUUUUAUAUUCCUCCUUUAAUAUAUUUACAUUAAUGCUUCCAUUGGCACAACAAUAACGAAUUACAAAUACAAGCAACAAGUCCCAUGUUUUAUUACCAAAAGCAGGUAAAAUCCACCUAAUAUAUUACAAUAUAUUCAUCCAAUAUUUUAGACCAAUUCUUCACCAUAAAUAUCAUAAUGUGGCUUUUGUUCUUUCUUAAAUUUAAAUUGAAUUGUCUUAUAUCAAUUUGUUUGUGAUUUUUUCAUUAACUUCACUUUCAUUUGGUUAUCUUUGGUUUUUGAAAAGUAUUAAGGAAUUAAUUAACAAAAUAAUGUUAAGAAAAAUAAUUUUCUCUCUUUUGAUUUUGAUUUUGUAGUAGAAAAAUAUAAUUAAAAUUAUUUAAAAAGUAUGUAAUUUUAAAUUAUUUAAUAUUUAGAUAAAAAAAAUAAGUCUAAUGAGUUUAAAAUAACAUAUAAAAAUAAUUUAUUUAUUUUAAAUUUAUUUUUUAUUUUCCAUUAUGUUCUCUUUCUCUUUUACUUUUUCAUAUUUUUUCUUACGAAGAAUCAAACACAACCUCAUAUUAUAUGUCAAGUGUUUGUCUAUAUUUGAGCAAUGUUAGAUACGGCCAUGGAUUCAUCAAACUAAACUGAUUUUAAUAGAUACUUCACAAAUUGAUUUAUACACUAAAUCAUUGGAUAGCAAUGAUGCAUUGGAAUUAAACGUAGGAUGAAGCUCGAAGAACACUGUUUGUGUAACAACAUAUUUAUGAAAUUAUGCAAAGGAUGAGCUUCGGGGUAGUAGUACAAGGUCAUUAAUGGAGAGCCGUGUUAAACCUUGAUUGUGAUUGGAUUCCGUUAUCAGCAACAGCAACCUUGUUUGUAACCUUGAAAGUCAUUCUGUCCACAUCGAAACUCCAAUUUGACGUUUGUAAUUACCAUUCCUGGAGUGUUCCUUGAUUGAAAUUUAAAUAAUAAUUGCGGCCCACAAGGAAUAUUUUCGAUUCUGUGGGAAUUUGACAAGGUUUGUUAGAGAAGACUGGUGACAUGUUGACUUCAAUGGUUCAAAUAGGAGACGUAUGUGGAUUUGGGGGGUUUAAUUGAAACUGAGUCCCUAUGGCUUUUUAAUAUUUGCAUUGAGCAGUCUCCAUGUGACUUCCUAAUUCCCACCAACCCUCCUGUCCAUGCUGUGAAACUAAAUUGUAAUUUAUCAGCCUUUGUCAAUGGUUUCUAAAUUAAAGAUAUAGACCAUGCAUGUACUUUAAUAAAAGCAAAUCUAAAGUGUAGAUAGCAGCAAUGGUGACACCCAAUAUUCUCCAUAAAAUAGAAUUAGAAUAAGCAGUGUUACAUUGUUCAUGAUCACCUACAAGCAUACAAGAACUUCCAUGAAUAACUCAUAGCAAUUGCCAACAGGGCGUCGUAGAGACUCAUACAUAGAACACUAUCCACCCAGAGGAAAGGACAAGACCAGUGCGCUGCAGCUCUUAUUUUUCACAUGUAUACCACCACUCGUAAUAACCAAAUUCACUCAGUUGGGAUAGGUGGGAGAUGGUGGUUUGUGGGGUGGCUUGUGGGGAGGAGUUGGAGGAGGCUUUAUUUUCUGAGGCGGCUUGUAUGAGUGUGCAGGAGGAUGCCCGGGAGUGUGACCAUAAUGUGGUGGCUUCUCUCCCGUAGGUGGUUUGCCAAAUGGGCUUGGUGGCUUCUCUCCCUUAGGAGGUUUACCAAUUGGGGUUGGUGGCUUGUGUUCUGGGAGUGGUUUCUCUCCCUUGGUAGGUUUGCCAAUUGGGGUUGGCGGCUUAUGUUCUGGGAGUGGCUUCUCUCCCUUGGGAGGUUUGCUAAUUGGGGUUGGCGGCUUAUGUUCUGGGGGCGGCUUCUCUCCCUUGGGAGGUUUGCCAAUUGGAGUUGGCGGCUUAUGUUCUGGGAGUGGCUUUUCUCCCUUGGGAGGCUUGCCAAUUGGGGUUGGCGGCUUAUGUUCUGGGGGUGGCUUCUCUCCUUUAGGAGGUUUGCCAAUUGGAGUCGGCGGCUUAUGUUCUGGAAGUGGCUUUUUUCCCUUGGGAGGUUUGCCAAUUGGGGUUGGCGGCUUAUGUUCUGGGGGUGGCUUCUCUCCCUUGGGAGGUUUGCCAAUUGGAGUCGGCGGCUUAUGUUCUGGGAGUGGCUUCUCUCCCUUGGGAGGUUUUGUUGGUGGCUUGUGUUCUGGAGAUGGCUUCUCCCCUGGAGGCUUGUGCUCCGGAGGUGGCUUCUGAAAUGGCGGGGGCUUGGGGUAAUGAGCAAGAGAUGGAGUACUGGUGAGAACCACCAUUCCAAGCAACAAUACUAGCAAGCAUGUGGGAGACAUCUUUGAGUAGUUGUAGCUAAGAUGGCGCAACACUGUAGGCAUUGGGUGGCCUUUUAUAAAGGGCUGGACCCAACAGCCAUAUGACACGUGUCAUGAUGACAAAUGA
rnacentral:lncRNA from 1 species